rnacentral:lncRNA from 1 species
CUGCCACAGUUGCCUAGGGGACGUCUGUCAGACAUGGAGGUGGAUCAGUGCGAGGAGACCAUAAUGCACGAUGUCAACAUAGAAGAGGAGAUGAGGCGUAGGAAGUACCAAAGGCAGCGGGAAGCCUACGAAGACGUCGACGAGGAUGAGGAUGCUGGGCCAAGGGUGCAAUGUGCCCAGCAGUAAGAAGCAAGAAGAUGUUUAACGCUCUGUCUGUCUAUCAUAAGCCAUAAUAAACCCCCACACAGAUUUAAUUAGUUGUUGGUGUAUGAGAAAUUAAAGUAUUAGCGAGUCUCUUACAUUGUCUGAGGGGGUGUUUGGAUCCAUGGACUAAUUUUUAGUUCGGGUCAACAUCAGAUGUUUGGAUACCAAUUAGAAGGACUAAACAUAAACUAAUUAUAAAACUAAUUGCAUAAGUCGCGGACUAAACAUAAACUAAUUAUAAAACUAAUUGCAUAAGUCGCGGCUAAUUCGCGAGACGAAUCUAUUAAGUCUAAUUAAUUCAUGAUUAAUACAUAUUUACUGUAGCAUCACAUGGUCAAAUCAUGAACUAAUUAGGCUUAGUAGUAGCCUACUAAGCCUUCAUUUAUGUAAUUGGUUUUGUAAUUAAUUUAUAUUUAAUACUCCUAAUUAGUAUCUAAACAUUCAACAUGACAGGGACUAAACUUUAGCCCCACAUGAUAGGGACUAAACUUUAGUCCCGUGAACCAAACAUGGCCCCGAAUCUUCUUAUUGUCAGGGUCAGAGUAGUAUAAGGGAUACACAAGCAGUUGCCAGCUAGGCAUCUAUACUGGUCAAAGUAUCUUGAGUUUCUGUGCGAGCAUACGGUGACAGUGCGGCUUGGUUAGGACUUGGGAGUGAGGUUUGUCAAACUUUGCGUUGCUGCUAUCUUUGGUGCAAUGGGCAUGUUGCUGGGUCUUUGUCAAUGUCAACAUUUGAGAUGUCAAGAGUCUGAAACUGGAGCACGGAUGUAUGUGAAACAGCCGAUAAAGUCCAUGAUCGCUUACAUGCAAGAAUCUGAUUUUGUGGUUCAUAGCUGGGAAGCCUCUAAGAAAGGUUGGGCAGAACUCCAGAAACUAGCUGGCUGCUGUUGACCAUAUAGUGGAAACCACAUCACUAUCGUUUCUUUCCUUUUCCUGAAUGGUGAAGUCAAAGUUCUGGUACCUCGCAGAUCAUAUGAUGCAGUAGCAGUAGUACGUUCGUGGCUCUGUGUUUCGUUAACUGUCACUUUCGCCGCCUUAAUACGAUUGACAUACCCAAUUCAUGAAUUAGCUGCUGUAAUCCCGAUUGAGCCACAUCUAAGCUGCCUGCACCCACUGGAAAUCCUAUGCCGCUAUCGUUCCUGCUCUUUCUUGUGCCCAGCUGCUUGUGCUUCUGCAUCACCCCGUGGAGAUCCACCGUUUGUCUCCGUCGCCAACUCGCCAUUGGUACCCUCUGCCUCUGUUGCCAGACACGCGUGCCUGAAAAUCUCCACAGUUUUAAGUUUUAACCGCUAGCAGGUCUCAUGUAGUAGCCAUGGUCAUUGUCAUUGCCGCCAGUUGCAGGAGGGAAACGCAUGCGAGAACAGCGCAGCCACGCAUCCAUUGCUGUUGCUGCACCGAGAGAGGCUGCGCCGUACUGAGAGUAGGAGGAGCUGAACGUAUACGACGCCUCUUGACCUUUCCUAGUUUCUCAACCCACACCCAAUCCGAGAUCACUAGCUGUUCUUGCGUGUGGACAAGCUACUGCCGGUACUGUACAACACUACUACUCCAUUGAUCGUGGCGCCGGACACGAGUUGGUUAGGGUUUUCCUGGUUUCAAGAACGAUAAGAAAGUUGGGCUGCGGCUUAAAGGCUCCAUUGAUGGCUGUCAAGGCUCAAGGUUUUCCAUUGCUUUGCUCGUCAUGAGCAGCGAUAAAAAAGACGUACGGCGUCGCAUGGCAUCGCAUCGGCAACCGGCGCCUUAAACUAGAGCCCGUUACAGCCUGUUGCGUUGACAGGCCGGUGUUGAUGCGCCCCCCCAUCCCAGCUCGAUCGGUCAGCCGGACGUCAUCGGGGACGGUUAAUUACGCGCCGAGAUUAGUAAAGUAAACCCUGGUAGCAUCGAGCCAACACAAGGCGUUUGACUCCGAGAGUAUUAUAGGACUUGGCACUGUUGCGGCAGUAAGGCAGAGGGGUAUAGUAACGUGUGGUUACUGUUCCCGGGCAUGAGCUUGACGGGGCUCGCCCCAUUUGCGUUGCGGGCGAACCAACCGAUGCGGUAAUCUGCUGUUAGGACAGGGUGCUUGGUUAGCAUUGAUGGCUCCUGCCCUUGGCGUAAGCUGGAGUAAUAACUCCUGUUCUUGGUACCACUGCGAGCUGAGUUUUUAUAUAUUUGCCCACGCCCGUCUGUUACUCUGUUCCUGAAACUGUAAUUUUUUUUUUGAUCGAGAAUUCAUCCUGCUUUUAUAGAAAGCGAAAACCUGAACCUGUGAAUUACUACCGGGGAGACUAUGUGCCGGCGCCAGAGUAAUUUUUUUAAGUUAAAUCCCGUAAGCUGAGCUGCACCUGUACAUGAUUCGUACUUCCAUUAGUUAAAUGGUUUAAUUAUUGGAAAAGCAUCAUAUAUACUUACCGGAAGCAGCAGUAAAUUAGCGCGGUUCCGUACAGGUUACGUUUACGGCUGGUUUUUUACUCCCAUCGUGCAGCAUCAGAGUCUCUGAUAGUUGACUCAACCGCUACAUGCUCCGUAAGAUAACAUGCAUGGCUAAUACAAUAUGCAGAUCAGUAGUAUGACAUACAGUUUUAUUAAUUGCAUUCGUGUUGGGAGACGUAAAUAUAUUGUCCACAAAAUAGUGCUUGACUGCUGGUCAUCCUUGUUAACUUCCCAUGACAUACUGAACAAAAUCAAAAUGCCUCAGAUUUUGUCCCAUUUUACUGCUCCGACUGAAGCCCGGACCAGGGACCUGAUACGGAAGUUAGUUGGACUUAGACGCACGGGCCGACUUGGACGGCGAAUCGUUACUUGCAAAGUAGGAGCUAGACACGUCGAGCCCAUCCACUGGACUAGCACUCUAGCAGCGUGCACGUAGGUAGCAGCUAGUACACCGGAAUCGUCGAAGAGUAGUUGCAGUAGCAGUACUGUAGGCUGUAGCAGUAGCUGUAACUGUAAAUGCGUUGGACAAGCGGACAAGCUCUAUAAUGACGUAGAAGUAAUGCGUACCGCGACAGUACGGGUACCGCCCACCCGCUGAGGCGCUGGUUAGCUCGGGCCUCGUUCGGUGCAGCGACACACGGCUACAGUCGCCGGCCGGUCAGGUUAGGCAGGCAGGCUCGCAGAGUAAUUCCAUUUCGACAUACUGAUGCGUGUUAGAUAGCAUACGAUGCAUAUGAUGCAUGUAACAAACUUAUAGAGAUCCGGUGAAAUAUCUUUGGCAAGUUGUUGUAGGUUAAAUGUAACUAUAUCUUCUAAAUUUGUACGGUCAAAGAUAUUCCCUUAUAACCUAUAUAUUGUAAUCCUCUUGUGUUGUUCAUCGAUUAACACGCAAUCGUUGCACCCUUGGAGCUAGGGGCAACGUUCAACCACGCACAGCGCCUCUGAUAUUUUACAUGGUAAUCAGAGCCAAGGAUAGAUCCAUGGCGUCAAGCUCGAGCGUCUCCAAUCCGCUACUUGGUGUGCAUAUCACCGAGAAGUUGAACAAAACCAACCAUGCACUCUGGAAAGCGCAGGUGCUCACUGCUAUACGCGGUGCACGAAUGGAAGGCCAUAUCACCGGCAAGACCAGUGCUCCCGUUGCUUGAGGUCGAUGAGAAGGAGGCCAACGACAAGAACGCCAAGGUGCCAAAUCCGACAUAUGUGGAGUGCUACGCUCAAGACCAACAAGUCCCUGGGCUGAUCUUCACAUCGGUGGGGAAAGAAGUCCUCGCCCAGAUCUCAGCCGCAACAACAGCUGCUCAAGCAUGGCAGGAAGUGCAGGGCAUGUUCACGGCCCAAACUUGGGCAAGGACAAUGAACGUGCGCCUUGCAAUGAGUACUACAAAGAAAGGUAACCUGUCAAUCACUGAUUACUUCACCAAGAUGAAGGGAUAUACAGAUGAGAUGGCGGCAGCCAGAAGGCCGCUUGAUGAUGAAGAAAUCACCUCCCACAUCUGCAACAACCUCGACUCCGAGUUCAAUCCAGUGGUGUUAGCCCUUGUCACAAGGGUUGAGCCAAUCAUAGUGGUCGAGCUCUACUCGCAGCUCCUCAUGUUCGAGACAAGGCUCAAGCUUCUGGACGGCUCGAGCGGCUCAGGCUCUUCCGCCAACUUCACCAACAAAAGAGGCCGCAGCUCGUCAGGAGGUCAUGGACCGAACUGCGGACGUGGCCCUGGUCACGGACGCGGCAACCAGGGGCAGCAGCAUCGCCCUAGUUACAACACCAACCAGCAGCGCUCGUCGGGGAACUCCACCGACACCCGCCCCCUCUGCCAGGUGUGCUUCAAGAAGGGGCAUCUCGCCUCUGAAUGUUGGCAUCGCUACGAUGAAACCUACGUCCCCGAUGAGAGAUUGGUCGCUGCAGACAUGGGCACCUACAGUGUAGAUACCAACUGGUAUACUGACACUGGGGCGACGGAUCACGUUACAAGAAAUCUUAAGCAACUCUCCAUCAAAGACAAGUACAAGGGCAAUGACCACACCCACACGGCGAGUGGUUCAAGUAUAGAGAUCAAACACAUUGGCCAUACUAUUGUUCCAACCCCCUCUAGAAAUUUACAUCUAAAGAAUGUUCCUCAUGUUCUACAAACCGCCAAAAAUCUUGUCUCUGUUCAUCAUCUUGCUAAAGAUAAAUCAACUUUCCUUGAGUUUCAUUCUGAUUAUUUUCUUGUUAAGGAUCAGGCAACGAAGACCACGAUCCUUAGGGGAUAUGACACAAAGGACUCUACCCACUUCCUUCAGCUCCUUCAAUAAAGCAGGCCUUCGGAGUAGUCAAGCCAUCUCUUGCACGGUGGCAUAGUCGUUUGGGUCACCCAUCGUUUCCUAUUGUUACUAGAAUUGUUAGCAGCAAUAAUUUGUCAUGCUUAGUAAAAUCGAAUAAAGAAUCAGAGGCAGUUUGUGAUGCUUGCCAGAAAGCAAAGAGUCAUCAGCUUCCUUAUCCUAGAUCAUCUAGUGAGUCUAGUUUUUCCUUGGAACUUGUUUAUUCAGAUGUUUGGGGUCUGCAUCCAAUUCCGUUGGAGGAAAAAAUAUUAUGUUAGCUUCAUUGAUGAUUAUAGCAAGUUUACUUGGAUUUACCUUCUCAAAUAUAAAUCUGAAGUAUUUCAAAAGUUCCAAGAGUUCCAAACUAUGGUUGAAAGAUUAUUUGACAGAAAGAUUAUUGCCAUGCAAAUUGACUAGGAGGAGUUUAUCAAAGGUUACACACCUUUUUUGAUAAAAUCAGCAUAUCUCAUCAUGUCUCUUGCCCUCAUGUACAUCAGUAAAAUGGCUCGUAGAGCACAAGCACCGUCAUAUAGUUGAGGUUGGCCUAGCGCUUCUUGCUCAUGCAUCCAUGGCUCUCAAGUUUUGGGAUGAGGCUUUCUUAUCAGCCACCUAUCUCAUAAAUCAUGUUCCUAGCAAGGUGAUUGAUUACACGACUCCCUUAGAACAUCUCUUCAAACAAAAACCUGACUACUCGGCAUUGAGAACCUUUGGUUGUGCUUGCUGGCCCAAUCUACGACCAUAUAAUCGACAUAAGCUAGAGUUUCAAUCUAAGCAAUGUGUUUUUCUUGGAUAUAGCCAACUCCAUAAAGGAUUUAAGUGCCUAAAUGUAUCAUCUGGUCGGGUAUAUAUCUCUAGGGAUGUCAUCUUUGAUGAAACAAUUUUUCCCUUCUCAAAAUUACAUGACAAUCUCGGUUACGUACAAAAAUUUCCCUCCUCCCACCAUAUUUGUUCAAUUUUCCAGUCUCAUCCUCUGGGGCGGAACAUAUAGAUGGACCGGUGUUUGAUUCUCCUAACCAUAUUGAUGAAACUGGUCAAAUUUUCGAAGAAAUUGCUGCAGGAAUCGGCACAUAUGAUGACACAAACGGAGAUGAGCCGGGCACAGGACAUGAAGAAGAUCAUGCACUCUCUAGCUACUGCACCUGCCGCGGGAUCUGUGCUGUAUCUGUCUCGAAGUCCUAGCAGGAUAGCAACGCCAUCCAGUGCCCUUGCGGGUGAAUCUGUGCACGCUACGUCCUCCACUCCGCUCAGUCGCGUAGCGCCAGCACCAGCUGGUGUCGCGGUGCCCCACUCCUCGGAUGUGUCGCGGCUGCAGGCGCGGGAGGAAUCUCUGGGCGGGAAUCAAGGGCUGGUGGAUCCUCUACACCGAGUGAUGAUAUAGAGGCUAAAUCUUCUAUGCCAGCAGCUGUCCAGACUGCCAGGGAACCAUCUAAAGGCACAAAUACACGCCCCAGGACUCGCCUGCAAAGUGGUAUACAUAAAGAGAAGGUAUAUACUAAUGGGACUGUUCUUUUACUUCUUCCGGUCAACCACAUAAUCUAGAAGAAGCAUUGACCAGUAAAGAUUGGAAGCUGCUAUGGAUUCUGAAUAUAUUGCUCUCACGAAAAAUCAAACAUGGAAUUUAGUUCCACCUAAAAAGGUAUUAAUGUUAUUGAUUGUAAAUGGGUUUACAAGGUUAAGAGAAAAGCUUGUGAGAGUCUAGAUAGAUAUAAAGCUCGCUUGGUUGCAAAGGGGAUAGAUUAUGGAGAUACCUUUAGUCCUAUUGUUAAAACAGCUACUAUCAUAAUUAUUUUAUCUCUUGCUGUAUCUAGAGGAUGGAAACUUCGACAGUUGGAUGUACAUAAUGCUUUCCUGCAUGGAAUACUGGAAGAAGAGGUAUGUAUGAAGCAGCCCCCUGGAUAUGAAGACAAAGCAUCACCUGGGUAUCUAUGCAAGUUAGAUAAAGCUUUAUAUGGCCUUAAGCAAGCGCCGAGAGCAUGGUACUCCAGGUUAAGUACAAAGCUACAAGAGUUUGGUUUUAAAGCAUCUAAGGCCGAUACUUCGUUAUUCUUCUAUAGCAAGGGGGAGAUCACAAUAUUUAUACUCAUCUAUGUAGAUGAUAUUAUUGUUGCUAGCUCCAGCCAGGAAGCUUUUCAAGUGUUGAUGCAGGAUCUAAGGAAAGAAUUUGCUGUAAAAGAUCUUGGUGAGCUUCAUUAUUUCCUCUGCAUAGAGGUAAAGGAUAUACAUAAUGGUAUUAUCUUAACUCAAGAAAAGUAUACUAAUGAUGUAUUGCAACGUGUUGGCAUGAAGGAUUGUAAACAGGUAGCUACACCGCUGUCGACUUCAGAAAAAUUAUCUCUAUAUGAAGGUAAUUUACUUGGACCGAGUGAUGCCACAAACUACAAAAGUGUGGGUGCUUUACAGUACUUGACAUUGACUAGACCAAAUAUAUCAUAUUCAGUUAACAAGGUUUGUCAAUUUUUACAUGCACCAACUAAUGUUCAUUGGAUGGCUGUGAAAAGAAUUCUGAGAUAUUUGAAACAUACAACCAAGGUUGGAUUAAAGAUCUGCAGGUCGUCUUCACUACUUUGUAAGUGCAUUCUCAAAUACGGAUUGGGUUGGCUGUUUAGAUGAUCGCAGGUCUACUGCAGGAUUUGUAGUAUAUUUGGGUUCUAAUCUUGUGUCUUGGAGUACUCGUAAACAGGCGAUGGUGUCCAGGUCAAGUACAGAGGCCGAAUAUAAAGCUGUGGCCAAUACAACAGCUGAGGUAAUGUGGAUUCAAACAUUACUGUAUGAAUUGGGGAUACAAUCACCAAAGACGGCUAAAUUAUAGUGUGAUAAUAUUGUUGCUAAGUAUUUGUCUUCCAUGCACGUACAAAACAUAUAAAAGUUGAUUAUCAUUUUGUACGUGAAAGGGUAGCGAAGAGGCUACUUGAUAUUGAGUAUAUCUCUACGAAAGAACAGGUUGCAGAUGGCUUCACCGAACCUAUUUCAUUUCGGCAGCUGCAAGAACAAUCUCAACCUUGGAAGGUCAGAUUGAGGAGGAGUGUUAAUAGCAUAUGAUGCGUGUAACAAACUUAUAAAGAUCAGGUGGAAUAUCUUUGGCAAGUUGUUGUAGAUUCGGUCUUCAGUAGAUAGAAGUGUUUGAAUGUAACUAUAUCUCUUAGAUUUGUACGACCAAAGAUAUUCCCUAAUGACCUAUAUAUUGUAACCCUCUUGUGCUGUUUUGGCACAUCAAUUAACACGCAAUCGUUGCACCCUUGGAGCUAGGGCAACGUUCAACCACGGCGCCUCUGAUCUUUUACAAUGCGAUCACCCGAUCACUGUCUCGCUGUUGAUCCUACGCUAGCCCGAAUGGGAUCACCCACCCUUAACCGCGUACUACACGGCUUCACUUCACCUAUUACAUUGCAGGCCUCGCAACCACAGGUACGCGCGCGGCCGGCCGGUGACGGGCCGCCGGCCGGCGCGCGCCCGGUGGCCGAUCGCUGAUGCUUGCGGCCGAAGCGCGCCCGCUGGUCCCCGUUCCCUCCUCCCCUCUCGCCGAGCGCGACGCGCCGCCGCGAGGCUGAUUGGACGACCGAGCUAGCGAUCGAUCCUCGCGGGGUUCUCGGCGUGCGGGAUCACGGCCAAUCUGCCUGAAAACGAACCAUCGGCAGGGCUCCACCGGCACCACCACCACCGGUUGGCAUCAGCUGGCCGCGCGCGGCUCGGCGCGCGCGCCGCAGGCUCCACGCUCACGUGGCUCCUCGAUCGAUUCGGCUGGUCCUGGCCUGGCCUUCUCGCGCGGCACGACUCGUGGUGGCUUGGCUAGCUGCACAUGGGGAACCGCAGGUCAAAGGGUCAAAGCCGCGCAUGCCAUGCACGAACGGAACGUGCCGCACGGGCACUGUGGCCUUGCCCAGUUGCCCGGAAGAGAGCAUCGGCGACCGUGGAGUGCGGGUGGGCGCACGGGAGUCGUGCAAGGAAAAUGCUCCCCGGCGAGUACAGGCACAGUAAAAUCCAUUAGAGACCUGUACUGGCUAGCGCUAAUCCAGUGCGCCCACUCUCGUGAUAAACUACUCUUACCGGAGUUUCGUUUGAAAUCUGAAACCAGGACAGUACCGUGUGUCCAGUUGCGGCGCGCUACACGAACACUCACCGCACCGGCGUUGGCUUGACAAUCUGGGUGGCAAUGGCAACACGAAUGCGUGCAAGGAAUCUCACUGCUAGCGACUGCAUUCAAUUCGUCCCCUCCGUUCUAUGUGAACUUGAGGACGAUCUGGGUAGGAAAGGCCUUACAUUUCUGGUAGAGCGGCAGCACCCGUUUUGACCUGCGCUGAGCCCCGCUGCCGCUGGAGUUUAUGGAGCUGUACAAUACAUACAACAGCCUCGAGAGGAUCGACGAAGCGUAGAGAGACCACACCCAGAACCGUAUACGUACACGUUCCAAUCAGCCGGAACUGAAAUUCGGCGAGGAUGGUGGAGCCCUGACCUAACUCCCAUCCUUUCCAACCUCGUUCCGGCCGUCACAGCUCAGAGAGCCUCAGACUGAAAAAAAAAAACAGAACGGGGAAGUCAAAGGCGAGACCAGACAAAACCGAAGCCAAAUUGAGCUCCUGAAUGGCGGAAUGAGUCGCGACCGGAUGGGAUUCCGGCGAGAUGCUGGCCGGAACUUGUCCAGCUUGACACCCCCUCCGCUCCGCUUGUCGUCAGGUUGGGCGCCCGGGCAAUACGCCGACCGGCAGCCAUGCACCCACGAAUCCACGAUGGGCCAGCACAAUAUUUGCAAAUCAGCCUGCAGGGCAUGAGCAUUUUGUAUGCAAGCGCCACCACCACCACCACUUGGCUUUCCCCUCCUGAUCGCUGAUCGCAUUUUGUAUGCAGGCAUCAGCGCCACUUGGCUCUGCGCCCCUGAUCUCCCGUUGCAUGAUUACGCUGAUAGAAUCACGUCUAUUGAUCGGCUCGGAAAUAAUUUGUUGGCGACAGCCGAACAGGGCUGUAAUUUAUUUUCCCCAGAAGGAGAUGCUGACUUGCAUCUUAUAUGCAACUGGAGGCGAAUGAGACUGACGGAUCACAAACGUACGGUGCUAGUAUUCACCAUACAACUAUACAAAUCUAUAGGAGUACCCCUUUUUUUUUCAGUCUAGUACUGCAGAGAUGCGUCGCUUUUGUUUUGAGACCAAGCAGGCAGAGAGGUGGUUAGUUAAAGUACAAUACGCUCCCGAUCUCCCAAUGCAUUGCUGCGCUGAUAGUGUCACGUUUAUUGGUGGGUUCGGAAUUUAUUUUGUAAUGGGGCUAAUCUAUUUUACCAAGGAGAGAUUUACUUAAUUUCCGUAGCAAGUCAUACUAGUUAACAGCAACUGGAGUCGAAUAAGAUAGACAGAUCUAUAGCUUACUGAUCAGCAUACAACAGGUCAGGGUCUGAUACUUUUUAACAAAGUGCUGCAGAGAUGGUUUCCUUUGUUUUUUUUAGACCACGCCAGAGAUGGUUAGUUAAAGUAGGAGUACGUCCUUAAGCACUUUGAGUAUUACCAACAGUGAAUGUCAAUGCCUAGAACCUUCUUUAAAGAAAUCGGACCAUUGGUACAGAAAGACAUAAAAUAUUAAAUGAAUCUUUUUUUGUUAUAUGCGCAUGAAUGGUACUUUUCAAAGAGUUUUUUUUUCCUGAAAGCUGCAUCCUAACUAAUCAUAAGAACUUGUCAUGUUCGCUUUCUUCUUAAUGCUAAUUCUAUAAUAGAAUGUUUAUUCUUGUUUGCUCUGUUUAUUUUUCUUAAAAUGAAAGGACAGUUGCUAUAGCCCAUCGUUGAAGAAACAGCAAUGAUAAAUCAUGUGGCUUUUUCAAGUAUCUUUAUUUGAUUUCUUCUCAUACUAUAAAUUAUGUAGCUUUCCAAGCAUCUCUAUCACUCUAUGGUCUCUGGUAUGGAUGGUUGAAUUUUGAAUCAUAUAAAGGUGACACAUAUUUGUUCUUACAUAUAAACUAGCACUGCAGUUUAUUAUAUAUUUAUGUUAGGGACAAAUGUAACAACUCCAGGUUUACUGACCAGUGGCAGUGAUCCCUAACCAUAACUUACACUUUUUUCUGAAAGAAUAAAUAAAUAAAUUUAGACGUCUUGAACAAUAUGAUAACCUGGAAUAGAAAAAAAAAGGUUUUAAAAAGAUAAAGAAAACUAGACGUCUUGAACAAUAUGAUAACCUGAAUAGAAAAGAAAAAAGUUAAAUAAUGGAGGCCCCACAGCGCAAGAAAAGGUACCAGGCUACUCUACUAUUUAUAGCCGGGGGGCACUCUUCUUGCCUCACUUCCCUCUCUUAGUCCUAGCUACAAGCCAUGGAAGCUAAAGCCCAACGAGACAUGGAAGCAAACGUAACCCAUGCACCCACCAUAUCUUCCUCCUCCUCCUCCUCCUCCUCCUCCUCCUCCUCCUCCUCCUCCACAUCUUCCUCCUCCUGCCUCGUCAAUGGCGCGCCACAAGAGGUGCCAAAGAACUCCAAAACCACGAACAAGCGCAAGCGGGCCUCUUCGCCGGACUCCCAGGAAGUAGAAGCCAAUGGCAGUACCGGCAGCGAUGGCCACCAAGGCGAGGAGAGCAGCUGCUGCUGCAGCACCGAAGAUAACGCUGUGGCGAGCGGCGGCAGCAAGGCCCAGGCGGCGUCGGCGGCCGGAGGCGCCGCCCGGUCAAGCAGCCGGAGCGGGUACAAGCACCCGUCGUACCGCGGCGUGCGGCGGCGGAGCUGGGGCAAGUGGGUGUCCGAGAUCCGGGAGCCCCGCAAGAAGUCGCGCAUCUGGCUGGGCACUUUCCCCACGGCCGAGAUGGCGGCGCGCGCGCACGACGUGGCCGCGCUCGCCAUCAAGGGCCGCGCCGCGCACCUCAACUUCCCGGACCGCGCCCACGAGCUGCCCCGCCCGGCGUCCACCUCCCCCGCGGACAUCCAGGCCGCGGCGGCCCAGGCUGCUGCCACCGCCGCCGACGCGCCGUGCGAAGCGUCACCAUCUUCGUCGCCGUCGCCGUCGUCAUCGGCCGAGCUGCCGUCGUCCCCCGCGGCCGACGAGACGCCGGAAGCUGCCUGCUGCCCCGAGACGGCGGCGCACGGCGACGGCGAGCAGGGCCAGGACAACGCACUGUUCGACCUGCCGGACCUCCUCCUGGACCUGAGGGACGGGCUGUGGUGGCCACCGGUGUGGCCGGGGCCAAUGGCCGCCGAGGAGUACGACGGCGGCGAUGCCGUCGGGAUGCAUGAGCCGCUCUUGUGGGCGGAGUAGCUGUUACUCGCCUUACCUUAUUACUACUGCGCUCUUUGAGUAUUCAAUAGACACCACACCAGUAGUAUACGCCGAUCUCCAAAAGAAGGGGGGGAACAAGAGGGAAAAUUUGGAAGAAAAAAAAGAGAGAGGAGCUAGCUAACACCAGAUCAUAUUAUGUUUACUAUUCUUAAAUUAGUAGUACUUGUGCUUGAUUUGGCCACGGAGCUACCUUGUGUUCUUUCUGUAUCAGCUGUCAGGACAAAUAGACGUCGACUGAUAGCAGUGUGAUGCGUCUGCAACAUCGCAAUUGUUUUCUAGAUGGUUGCAUCUCGCAUCAACAACGAUAUAAGCAUUAUUGCUGAUCUUUCUAAGAGAAAAAAAAGGGUGAGAAAAAUAUUAUACAGAACUCCGAGCGACCUGUUUAUAAGUGGUGAACUGCCGUCCGUUCGGAGGUCGUUUUAUGGGCCGGGGCCGGUGAAAGCAGCGAGUGAGAGUCCAUGCUAGCGUUGGGCAGAUUCUCACCGGACAGCUCCAGUUCGGUUUCCCUGCCGCUGCCACGUCGUUAUUGCGGCCAGGAAACCCGAGCCCCCCGUUUUAAAACUUUAUCACGCCAACUGGGGCGUACUUGCUCUCGCGGAUUACGCCAUUUUUCUACUUACCGAACUCGUAAUAUCUUAAUAUCUUGGCGUGGUUCGGUACAGAUUACGGAGACACCACCACGUUAUCCCUCCGAGGUUAGUACGCACACAUUGGAAAAAUUCGUGGGUUGAAUGGAUCCAACGCAAGAAACAAAAGGGGGAGAGCCGGAGAUGGGAAGCAGCACAGAAAGUUCCACGUCCAGAGGCCGCGAUAUUCCCUUGUCCCUUGUCCCCUUCCGCGGCUCUGACACGGUGGAACGAGCCGCGCGCCAAUCGCCGCCAGGUUAGGUGCACGGCACCAGCACGCCUAGUUACCGGCUCCUUUCCCGUUCGAUCACAUUCCCCUCCCGGUGAUCAGUCGUCGCGGGCUGGGGGGCGAUCUCGGCGUGACACGUAGCCGAUCCAGGGGAGCGCCCUGGAAGACCGUACCGCCUCACAUGCCCAACACAUGGCCAGGCGAGCACGCAUCGCGCUCGCGCCGCACAUUGGCUCCCGUCGCGCGGCGUAUCACGCGCAGUUCGAUCACAGGCGCACAGCCACGGCACGGCGAGCUGCCCCUGGCUGCGCGGCCGCUCGUGGCGCCGGCGGGUUACAUUAAUCGGGCGGGCCGGCUCGCGGCGAUGCCAGGCGGGGAUCCUAUGCCGCGCGGGGGGUCGUGCUGCCUUGUCGCCGCCCGGCCAGGCCAGGCCGGCCGGCCGGCCGGCCAGAAGCCUACAACUAGAAGGACGCGGGGCGAUGGGCGAGGGCCCCGCGAGCCGCCGAGCGAUUCCGGCGGGCGGGCGCACGGUAGGUGGGUGGUACCGAGCACGCACUCGUUACGUUGGGAUCGAUUGGCCGGGGUUUGGACAGGCCGGGACACCGAUGCUGUGACGACGAUGCGCGCCUAGCAAAUAAUCGGGGUGCUUAGCUAGCGCCUCACCAGCAUGCUGGUGCUUGCCGUCGCCCGAUCGAUCGAUCGAUCGACCGGUGCAAGUUGCGCCCCCCUGAUUGGCUCUCCAUCUCCCGACGCGUUACGUGACUCUCCUCAAUCCAAGUUGCGCUCUGUUGCGCUGGUUGAGAUUUGCUGGAGGAUAUAAUACGACGGUUACAGGCGGCUGAUCAAUGAAUGAAGCUGCUGAUCCCGUCGAGAGAUUCAGUAAACGGCCCACGGAACGAAGGAAUCUCUACGCAGGUGGCGGUGCAAGACGUUUCUGAAACAAGAUUUGCUCGCGCGGCUCUACGUUGGUUGUGAGAUUAGCAAAUUGAAUGAAUCAAUAAUGACAAAGAAAAACAGAGCUACGCAUUCUCUGAACUGAAGACUUUAAUUUCCAUCGUCGUGCAGUUGCCAUGGGCAGUGAAUCUCGACCAAUCAAGCGUUACUUUUGCUUUCUUAAUAAAGGUUCAAAACCCAACGGCUUCGUUCGCAUCAGAUUCGCUCGCAGAUGCAAAACCAAAGCCGGAGGACACUCAUAAAAAAGCCAAGGAAAAACCGAGAAGAACGACCGCCAUAAUUGGUCAACAGUCCUUUUCUAUUACGAUCAAACUGCCAAAAAAUUCGUGUAACUAUAAUCGUAACAAUAUAGAGAUCCCCGAUCGUACAGUCCUCGCAUGUGAUCGACGCAAAUCAUGCAUGGCUCUCGGCGGAUCCGUCCGUCGAGGCCGUUAGUUUCACUGCCAAAACUGUCGCAUGUGCCGACUAAUCGAGCUAAUUUUCGCUCGUCAUUUCUGUGGGCGUCGCGUCCGUCGACACCGUCGUCGAUCGUUCUUAGACAGCAGCCAUCUACAAGAACUUUGAAUGUCGUACACACAGACAGUAAAACAGACAAUGUAUAUAAUGACUUGUCCAUUAAAUUAUCCUUAAGUCAUUUAAUUUAUGCAUGGACACAUAAUACAUGGUGAUUACGUAUAGCUUUCUUUGUAUACUAUUUUGUUGUUUAUUUGAGAUGAUACAUGAUGCUUACCAUCCGAGAGAAUAAACUUACCUGGGAGUAUCAUUUAACUUUUAGUUUUACUUCAUGUCAUCCUAACCUGCCUAAAAGACUUUGCUGAUAUUACAAUCUUUCACAAGUGAUGCAAUAUAAAAGUGCAAGGACCCAGAUGUAAAAAUGGCUGCCCAACAUGGUGGCUGGCGGGCAGAGUAGCGGACGAACUGCGGACGUGCAGGCUAGCGGUGCAGCUGCCAGACGGCGUGGCGGAGGGUCGUUAGCGCUAGCAGCGCCGCCGGCGGAUGGCACAACGGCCAGAAGGGAUGCGCACGGCAACCGGGCGAGCGGAGUCGAGGAACACAGGUGUCCCUAUUUUACACUCAUCCAGGGAGUCCGUUGCCUCAAAUCCAUGGCUCGUACAACCGGCGACGACACCGUCUGUACGUAUGGGAGCACGAGCCACGGUCGUCGUCUCACAAGAGGACGGCUCCUCUCUCUCCUCUUUCUUCUCGUCCAUCUAAGCAAAAUUGAUCUACACAACACCAUAUAGAUGACUCAUUAAUUGACGUUGUACAUGCCCUCAGUGGGAGUGUAGCUUUCCGACAACGAGCGCCACCAAUUAUUUUUUCGGCUCGCCACCCGUCCCCAUGCAGGUUGCUGUAAGAAAAUGACCACUCGUGUGGAAGUUAUACGCGGAUGUGGUAGUAUUAACCACUCUUUAUUGAUGAUCGUUUCUUCUAUUCUCGGUUGCAAAUACACGGGCCGGGGGUUUAAUUGACGUACUAACCGCUCCCCGCAAUUGGCUGGCCGCAAGCGAGCACGUCGUCAGGCUCGGUCGAUCACUGGCGCCUUGCGAUCUAGUCAUUUCAAUGUCAUUUCUUGUUCUAGAAUAAUGGUUUCUAGCUUGGUUUGCUUCGGUCACUUCUCCGGCUUUGUCUCUACUCCCGCUCAAAUCAACGGAGGACCAAGCUAGCUGCUACUCCAGUGUUAGCGUGACUACAUCUAAGCUCAGCUGGUCGUCGUCAUAGAUUAGUGAUCAUGCAAAAAGUGAGACCGCGUGCAGGGGCAGAGAGGAAGGUCAAGUUAGAGCUGACGCAAGGCCGUAUGAAGCGCCGGCCGUCGUUAACAAAACCAAAGUGUUCUCGACGAAUAUGAGAACAUACAACUCUCGAUCUUCUCAGUGAAUGUUUGGAUUCCUGGGUUAAAGUUUAGUCCGGGUCAUAUCGGAUACUUGGAUGUUAAUUAGGAGUAUUAAACAUAGGCUAAUGAUAAAAAUAAUUGCAUGAAUGAGAGCUAAUUCACGAGAUGAAUCUAUUAAACCUAAUUAAUUCAUAAUUAGUACAUACCUACUGUAGCAUCACAUGUGCUAGUAUAAUAUGUUUUCGAUCCAUCUUUUUAAUUGCCGUCCGUAGUAGGAACCGUGGUCCUGCAUGUACCUUAUCAUUGGUUAGUUGUCCUCGCGUUGCACAUUCGGUAGCGAUUCAACGUAUUGCCUGUGCUUUCGCGCAAAGAUUUCAUCGAUGGCAAGUGCUUUUGACCUAGUUAGUUUACGCACGUGUUAACUAUACAAGUGAUGAUUAUUUGUUGAGAGCCAGAUUUGCUUUGAAUGUAUAUAGAUAUAUAAUGGCUAAAAGGAGAGCCAAUUUGCACGAGAUGGAUUCGCUUUCGGUCCUUUUUUCCAGUCUUGGGUUGAUUUCCUUCUUUUCUGAUUUUUUUCUAAAUAUAAUAUUGUGCAAUCAACAUUUUUAUAUUUUGGCCAUCAAUUUCUCUUUGAAUAUUGCAACUGAAUUUUUUUUGAUAAAAAUUAUAGCUAGAUUUCAGAAUAUAAUAACAACUUCACUACAUUCCGCGUAUAUAUGUUACCAGUAGUUUGUGGCUGAAGUAUAGACUUUGUCACUGUCCAAAACAGCACUUAUUCGAGACCAGAGAGAAAAAACGUCAAAAACCUUAGAAGGGAUGUCAUGGAUAUUUGCUUUGAAUAUAACCUAUAGCAUGUAAGUUCCAGAGUUCCAUUUUCACCCCCUGUGGCAUCAUUUUCUGCCAAAGAAAAAAUAAUUCAUGGAAUUCCAACGUUCCAAGCAUGCUUUCUGUCACCCAUCCCCCCUGGCCUUUUCUUUGUCUAGCCUGUACUGCAAGUUAACGCUGAUUUAAGUCAUGUGCUUAAUAAAAAUUGACAUGCGCGUAGCUCUGGUACGGCCCAUCUCAACAGCAUUGCACAGUCUAAAAGCACAGGUGCUCAUCAUCUGGUGCUACGUCCAGGGCGUUUUACUGUCACUGUCGCUACUGUAGUUUCUCAGUAAACACUCAUGGUGCCUGAUGAAAUCUUGCGCCCAAAGGACGAAAUGACAGCAGCUCCACCCAUUGCCUUUUUCAGAAUUGCUUUUGUGGUCGAUCGCACCUUACGCCUACUAAAAUUUAGCACCUAUUAUAUUGGAUGUUUGGAUGCUAAUUAGAAGUAUUAAACAUAGGCUAAUUAUAAAACUAAUUGUAUAGAUGGAGUCUAAUUCGCGAGACGAAUCUAUUAAGUCUAAUUAGUCCAUGAUUUGAUAAUGUGGUGCUACAGUAACCAUUUGCUAAUGAUGGAUUAAUUAGACUUAAUAGAUUCGUCUCACGAAUUAGCACAGGAUUCCGUAAUUAAUUUUAUAAUUAGCUUAUAUUUAGUCCUCUCCUAAUUAGUAUCCGAACAUUCGAUGUGACACUGCUAAACAACUAGUACACAAACACCCCAAAUAGGAAACCUCGUAAAGCUUUUUGAGUGUGAUCUUAGGAAGCAUCCGAGGCUGGAAUGCCUGCCACGAGUUCCUCCCGGACAGUUUUGUUAAUGUCCUCACGCUGGAAUCUGGCAGUGUUUAUAUUGAUUAUUCCGUUCCAUAGACCAUAAUACACGGAUAGCCGCAUUAGGUUAAUCCAGGAUCAGGAAGCAAAGAAGACUGCUUUUGCUUUGCAUUAUUUCGCCUCAAUCUCACUCGCCAUCCUGCUUUUCCCCCAACAAACACAACUUUCUCUGCUGGUUGACACGGCUCAGCAUUUCCCUCGUUGGCAUUGUAUAAUGAAACGAACAGAUUAUAUUGUAAUACAAAAAUACAAAGCUUGCACUACACCUGGCAGGGAACCAAAUCUUUUGGAUCUCUGAAUUAGGGAUUUGGUGCAGUUUAAUACUCCACGCAAGGCCCACGAAUUGGUACGGCAUGGAAUAUUUUCAGCUACUUUAAUCAUUACUCGUCCGAUCGAAGGAACACACACAUUUUGCACGAAGAUGAACUGUGCGCUGGGGCAUGCAUGCCGAGACAGAUAAACAAUGGGAAUCAAAUGUGGGUUCAGUACUGUUGACCAUCAGAGAAGCGCGUAGGGCAACCCUCUGUGCUCCGUACCCUUCUCUGUUUUGCAAUGCCAUUCACAUUUUCUUUGGAGUGGAAAUUAAAAGAAAUGUGCCAUACAGAUUGCGGUUUCCACAUUGACUUUCCGGAGAUCAGUCCAAGUGUAGCCUGGCCAAGAACGAUAUAUAGAGGAAUGGUGCCUCACAUAUCGCAGUCACCAACCAAGCGCAUGCAACUCACUCCGAUCAGUUCUAAGUUGUAGCAGCGGAUCAAGUCGCAAGAAACACCACUUGCCCGUCGUCAUCAACAGCAAGCGAGCAGGAUUAUUAGUCGAUCGCCAUCGUCAGUUCUUCACUUCUUGUCACGUUAGGCCGGGAAUGGAGCACGAGCAGGUGCUUCCUCAAGUGUCAGUGGGCGGCUGCACCUGCAGCGACAACUCGAGCUCGAUCACCUCCCUGAACGCGUCGUCGCCGAGCUCCAGCGACGACUCCGGCAGCAAGGGCACGAAGCGGCCGCGCAGGGACCUGAAGCACCCGACGUACCGCGGCGUGCGAAUGCGGACGUGGGGCAAGUGGGUGUCGGAGAUCCGGGAGCCCCGCAAGAAGUCGCGCAUCUGGCUCGGCACCUUCGACAACCCGGAGAUGGCGGCGCGCGCGCACGACGCCGCCGCCGUCGCUAUCAAGGGCCGCGCCGCGCACCUCAACUUCCCGGAGCUCGCCCACGAGCUGCCCCGCGCCGCGUCCGCGGCACCCAAGGACGUCCAGGCCGCCGCCGCGCUCGCCGCGGCCACGCUGCUGCCUGCUUCUUCUUCGUCGCCCGUCGUCGUCCCGUCCUACGAAGACGACGACGCUGGGGACGCCGGUACGGUGCCUGAUCAGGUUGUCGAGCAGCAUGAUGAUCAAGCAGCGGCGCGGUGCUUCGGCAUUGAGAAUGCAGCUCCGUUGUGUGGCGGCACUGGACUGGACCUCGCGUUUCUCGACGUGCCGGAUGCUCCUCUGGACUUUGGGUACAUGCUGUCGCCGCUGCCAUUGCCUCCGUCUUACUGGGGCUCGCAGUGGGAUGAGAUCGCCGACGAGCUCUGCUUCGAGGAGCCCUUGCUGCUCUGGGAACAUUGACGGACGAUCGUCGAAGAGUAGCUAACAGGAUGCACGAGAUUCUUUGAUUUCUUGUUUUCGGUCAAUGCGUUAGUGUGUAACUAACCUUGUCGUCCGUCGUCACUGUGAUGCAUGCUAACAAAUUUGCAACGUAGCUGUAGUUAGACUGAAUCAUAUUUUUUAAAAUUUUGAUUCCGUUGCAGGUCAAUAAGAUCAAUAUCGCUUUGUGCGAUAUCAUGCAUAUGUAUAUAUAUGAUGUAUGCAUGUCCUCAGCAAGUUCCUAUUCAAGACUACUUUUUCUGUAACCGUAACUGUAUUGUAAAUCUUAUUUUCUCGUUUUACUAGCUUGUUCCACCCACAAAAUGGCUCGAUGGCACCAGUUCAUGCAGCGAGUAAACAACUAGUGGCACCUACUAAUGAUGAGCUACAAAAUAUGAUGCGCACACCCUGGUUUACAGUGGACGCAAUCAUGCAGCUCACCAUAAAUAUUCUAGAUAUAUAGAACAAAUUAAAGCGAACUACCGUUCUGUCUUUUGUUGUCUUCAGCCGUUCUAGCCAUUCCGUGGCCAAUAAUAUACCAUCAGAGAUCAUAGCCAACGUAACUAGCCAUCCCUGGAGAUUAGUCAUAAAUUAUAAAUACUCACUCCAACUACAAAUAAGUGUCGUUUUGGACUAUACAUACAUCCAACACGUUUUAACAUUUUUUAUCAUUAAUAUCUCUUUGAAUAUUUCAAAUAAUAAUUUGUAAAGUGGUAUGGCUAGAUUUAUUUGCCUUCAAAAGUAGUUUUAGAAUAUUAUAAUUUUUUUGCUAUAUUUUAAAUAUAUUUUGUAUACUAUUAGUUAAUAGUUAAAAUAGUGCCUUCGUGGUCAUGUUGCUGUCAACAACGGCAUUUAUUUGUGAAUUUGUGACUUUGAGGGAGUGUUUGACAUAUGGUUAGUGUAGUUAGUGGCACAAGGUUUAGUGUAUUGCAUGGUUGGUGAGGCCAAGCAUGUGAUCUGCCUGCCUCAGCAAAAGCAGCCGCAUCUCUUCUACACGGCUACGUACUGUGGUUAGGUAUGACCCAAUGGAGCCACGCCAUUUCGCUACGAGGUUAGUUGGGUCGCGUCAAGAAGAGCAUGCAUCCUGGUUUGUUAAUGUCCAAUGCGGUUAUCCGUUGAUUAAAGAAUGAUCCGGUCGGCAUGACACGGCCAAUGGCUUGUUGUGCAGUAGUCCGGGAGCAUGUGAGUGUUCAGCUGCCUGUCAUCUCAAGUGCCGUCUUGUACUGACCUAUAUAGCGCACGCCAUGGCAGUGGCGCCUUCUGUGCUUGGUCAUGUGGGCAUAUUAUUGACUCAACAUGCUUGUUAUUGUAUUAUUAGAUCUUAAUUAGACGAAUUAUUGGGGAAAUCGAACCUUGCAACGACACCCUUUUUUUGGGUGUGAUGGGACAUUCCAACUGACCAUGUGAUAAAUCAACGUAUGUGUUGCAGCCUAUAGAAAACAAGCUGUAUUCUGAGCUAAAAUAUAUUAGUGUACUGUUUCAACGUAGCAGAAGUAAACAUUUUUUUGUGUGUGUCUGCUAGGACUGACUGAAGACUUGUUGAAGAAGUAUUUCUCAGUGCCACUAAAAUCUUGUGCCAAGUUGGGGAAAGGUAGGGGGGGAGUGCUUUUCAGUAUGAAAGAAGCAUGGAGUGACUAAGGGGUAAGUUCCUUCAAUUAGUUCAUGAGUUCCCUUUCACAAACUUGUUGACUUGUUGUAGAAGGAAAAGUGACAGCUAGCAAAGUCAAGAAUAAAGCAAACCAGGGGGAACACUUGUGCUAUUUGAAAGAUCUAUUUAUGCAUCGUGCAUGGCCAGCAUGGGCAGUAGCCGCAGUUUCUGUCGAAAAGCUUUCAUACUUUUGAGCCGUUUACUAUUUAGAGCAUGGCUAAUAAUUUUGGCUAAUUGUUGGCUUUAUACUAAUGACAUAUCCGUUGCGAGUAGAAAAAUAGAAUGAAUGAAUGAAUCUGAGAAUUCUCUUCAUUGAUUGAAUGAAUGGUCUGGUUACAUAUUUAUAAAGGGGAAAAGACAUGCCCAAAGGGCAUCAUGUCCGUUAGGAGUUGGCCCAUUCAUGAAAGGUCCACACCCUUUCAUGAAAGGUCCUCUACAACUAUCUAUAUUAUUAAUUGAUCACUAAUAAUGUGUUUCAGAGCACUCCCCCUUAAUCAAUUAGCUCCUUGUAAACUUCAUGUAAUGUUUGUUCAACCAUCUUUGAUUAUCAUAUGGGAAAAACUUCUCCAAAAACCCUAUGGGAAAAAUAUUGAGGAGAAACUAACUUGUAUGUCCAUAUGCCAUUAAAACUCCUUUAAAACCCAGUGGAAAAAAUAAGAAGAAAAUGAUAUGGCAUAUUUAGAUUAUUAUCUCAUUGUAAACUCAUAUGAGAAAAACCUUUACAAGGAAAACUCAUAAGUAAGUUUGGAGAUCAAUAAUAUUAUGAUCUGAGGAUCAUAUUCGAAUAACCUUCCCCAAAACCCAAUGGAAAAAUAUGAGAAGGAAUUGUAUGUAUUUUAUACCUCGUUAAAAACUCUUGUAGAGAAAACAGAAGAUAUGACAUGUGAUAUGUCCCGAAUACCACCUUUAAAAAUACUGGUGGGGAAAAUAUGUGACAUGAUAUAUAUUCUUGUAUUGAUAUUGCCUCAUUAAAACUUUUGAUGAGAAACUUUGUGAGGAAAAACUCAUAUAGGUAAAAGAGUACAAUAUGAUGUUUGAUAGAUUAUAAUUUUAAGAGAGUCUCCCCCUGAGCCUUACAAAAUUUAAAAUUUAGGACAUACUGGCUCAGCUUUUGAGCCAAGUUGCAGUGAAGUGAGAAUGAUCAGGAGGCCAUAAUCAUGGCAUGUCGUUCGCUGGAGAUGGUUGCCUUACGUUUCUCCACUUUGAAUGGAUGGUCCUUUAAUUUACGGAUUGGUGUUUAAUAUUUGGUUUACUUACAAUUUGUUCAUGUGAGUGUAGCUUUGGUGCUAUUACUGGUGCUAUUACUUGUAAUAAUUAGGAUCUGAACCCUCUUCAUGAAAGAGGGGGAGGCUGGAUGUUUUUUCCAUUAUUAAAAAAAAAAUAAUUUGUAUAUUGUAUAUGUGCGUGGGCAGUGUUCAAAAUAUAUAUUUCAUGCUUUUGGGCCCAUUUGCUCAAAGAACCACCAAGUGGGUGUUUGAAGCGACACCGCGAACUAGAACUCAAUUAGCUCCUAUGUUACAUUUUUAAUCCAUUAUAUCCUCUUGCUACGUGCGCGAGCAUUAUCCAUACAUAGAUUUGCCAAGCAUAUGGUUUCCAACACAUUAGCACAAGUCCGUUAAUUAUUAUUCCUGCAAGCAGCAUCGAUCUUUUCACCGAUCAAGCACCAAAAUGAACCUGCAAAGCGUGUACACACGUACUUUGAGGUACAAGAUGGCAUGGUAUGCCUUUCAAUCUUUGUUCAUAAGAGACACUGGAUCAAGCUACAUCAAGCGCACACAGAGUGACAGGUACCACGCUUCCUGAUUGGUCUCCGGGCGACUCAAGCAAUGUUGCUUGCAAGAAUCCUGGGAGCAAAUGUACGAGGCAAACUUAUUGAUCACACGACGAACUAACACAGAACUUGACGAACUGUUAGGUACUACAGAGGACCAACGUAACCGAGGAUCAUUAAACACGGUGUCUCCCAUGACAGCUAGCAAGCUCUCUUAUUAGUUUUGCGGCAAUAACAGCAAGAGAUUGUUGUAUACAAGCCUCAGAUCAGUACAAAAGCAUCACUGAAGCACGACGCAGCUAUAGCUAGGCUUGUUCGCCAUCACGGAACGGGGGACGAGGGCAGCGCAGGACAGGGAGGCAUCACGGCCCGAUCGGGAUCGUCGUACACGCCGCCCUGGCGCCCUUUGAUGAUCCCGAUCGUCGGGUUCUUGUCACUAGCACUAGCACCUGCAGUGGUGCCCGCCUGUUAGCCGCCCGCCCGCUAGCGCCAACAGUUUGUGAGCUCCUCGAUCGGCAAUUAUGUGGUACGUCCACAGCGCCGUAGGUGGAUGAUUGUGGCCGGAGGGGGAGGGCAGCUGGGACUGGGAUGUGGUGGUUGCGAGCUAACGCUACGACGCCGCUCCAAUCGGUCGAUCGAUCAGCUAGCAGUUCGGCAGUAGCAGACUGCUGAGGCGGUGCAAGUGGUGGUAUGCUUGGACGCUUGCUGCCACCAGCACCGAGUGCUGCAGCAAUGAGAGGAAACGCGUCUCAUUGCUGAUGCUGGCGUCCCUGCUCGCCUCGCCGGAUUCCGCCGCUGUAGCCGGCCCCGGGGGUGUGCUGACGGAAUUGACCGCGCGUUCACACCGAUCGAGGUCUCGAGGUCAUGUCGUGUUCUUGUGGAAGGUACCGUGCUUGAGUUGAACCACUGCUGCAGUCGCGAGUAAUGCUGAGCAGUGAGCACCGAAAAAUUCGUCAUGUCGCCGGAGUCCUCCUGCGACAGCGCGUCUCCACUCUCCACACUGCAGCGCUGCGGGAGAGCUUUUGAAUUUGUGAACUUCAACCUGUCCCUAGUUGCGGUUCCCUCCCCAUAGGCCCAGGAACCUGGCGGAGUUGCUGGCCCGCGCCCCGGCCGUUUCGGCCCGUGCUCCCCUGACCCAAAGUUGGUGGAGCGAGGACGUACGGUUGUGCUGGAUUGUUCGUCACUCUCUGAAGCCAAACUGCGCGCCAAAGCCUGAACGCGACGCGCCCGCAUGGUGUGGGGAGGGCAACGGGCCACGCACGGGAGCGUCGAGGCUCGGGAGGCGGCGGUGACUUGGCUUGAGUGCUGUGGUGCUCGUGCUCCGGUGAUCGAACGGAGGUACCGUUGGUUGGUUAAUAGCCACUUGCACGCUCGCACGUACGACCGCACGAGUACGAAACGCCUUGAUCGCGUUUGACGGGGGCUCCCUGAAUCGUGCGUGAGAAUCCGCCGGCGGCGUCCUGACCUGUCCCUUGGUAGCUUUUCCCGCCAAGGACGUGUUGCAUAAAAACCUAGUCCAGGCUAGGGCAAUUAGUUCAUUGCGUGUACGUGAGCCAGCAGAUGAGGUUUUCUUUUCUUCUUGUUUUCGUCUUCCAAUUUGGUCCUUUUUUUGAAUUGAACAACUGAGUAGCAUCCGAGCCUGGUGAUCAAGGACCAUGGCUUGAGUGUCAAUAAGCCAUAAAAAUGCUAUGAUAACCAACUUGCACCCUCUGAAUUGAAGAAAGAAAAAAAAUGCUGGUUUAUAGCAAAAUGAAGUUUCCUAGUGGCAAUAUAAGCAAGGUCGAGCUGUGUUGUUCAUGAAGUUAAGGUUUGAGCUGUGUUCACGAAGUUAUGGUUUGAGCUGUGUUCACGAAGUUCAGGAAGGGAAGUUCGUCUUUUGGUCUUUGGCUUCAGCUUAUAAUAAUCUGGCCCCUCCCCCUCCAGCAAAUUGACGGAUUUGUAAUUUAGAAAUGCAUUGACAGAUAGGCAGUGUAGUGCGCAGAAUCACUCAAGACAGAGACCCAAAAGAGAGAGGAGACAAAUGUUAACAUAAAUAAAUUCAGUUCAAAUAAAAUAUUUGUCAUUUUUUAGGGCUGUAAUAAGGCAAAGUCUUCUACCAUAAAACUUUGAAGUUUGAACUCGUGAGUAUUUGGUCAAAACAAUAUCUACGUGUAGCAAAACAGCUAGCAUCUUUUUCUAGCCGAAGGGCAUGUCAUAUUGUCAUCCAAUUGCAAAUUGAGUAAGCUUCAUUCCAGCGAUGUAAAUCAAACUGGGAAACAAUACAUUUAUUUUUCCUUUUUUUCCGAAAUGAUAAACGUGAGUACCUUCUAGCAUAAAUAUGAGCACCCAUGCCAUCGUGCGCAAGUUGGAUAGUUGAACCAGGGUGGACAGAUUCUAUCAUAAGGAUAUAACCAACUAAGGUCACGUAGCAAUUGAUUAUAAAUAACUUGUCUAAAAAAAUAUAGGAUUCACAACAUAAUAAGUAGCGCAGCUGUGAGAUUGUAAAAACAGAAUGUUGUGUUCUUUUCUGCAGAGGCAGGAGCAUAGCCAUUUUCUAUAAAAAAAACAUAUUCAUGGACAUUGGGGUACUAUUCGCAAAAAAUUGGACAUCGGGGUACAAUGAAUUAUGCAAAGAAAUAUAUGUAGCAAUUAUCAGCCCUUAGCAGUAAGGCUCUGUUGUUGCACAUGGAGUUGUAGGUUGUAUAACCAUUUUCAAGUGUAAGGGAAAUAAUUUUAGAAAGGCACGUGAAAAGGAGCAAAAUAAAGAGAGACCGAUAAAAAAAACAAUUGAUUUAGUUUUCAAACUUUCAUUCAUAAGGCUCUCAUUAGUAGAGUGGGCAGUAGAAUCAUCAAUCUUAACUGCUAAAUUCUUUUUUCGAAUUACCUAGACACUUCAGUAACUCCUAUUAAAUUUAACUGCAUAAUGUCAACAAAUAAGGUAGUAUUUGCAUCUCUCUAAAAGGCAUAUUACCACCCUCCUUUUCACUUGUAUGGUGCAUUAAUAUUUAAAAAGUAAAAUAUUAUAAAUUUUUGACAAACAAUUAAUCAAAUUAUACACAUGUUUUAUGUAUAGAAGUUAUAUAGAUAGACUCAUAUUUCACAUGUCUUUUAGUAUGAAAUUGACUUUAUAACAAUAAGAUGUUAUGGAGUAACUAAUUGUCAAAUCUUACUUUCAAACUUUUUCUAAAUCAGGAGGAAGUACUCAAUAAUACGUGAAUACACCAAAAUUUGAUUAGAUCUUUGGAUUUUAGGGGCGGACAAAACAUUUCAGGGUGAGGGUGAGACGACUAGACGAGUUCCCCCUGUCUCUGGUCCCCGCUGAACUAACGGGCACGUCCUAUGUUUUCAUCCGUUUCCAUUGCAACGCCACGUCGCUCUGCCCUCCGAGCGCGCACCAUAAAACCGGACCCCCCGCUCUGCUCCUCCUCCCGUCUCCAGUUCUGCGUUCUCCACUCCCCAAGCUCAAGUGCGGAGUGCCCAACAACUCCACCGCCGCCGCUUCGCAGGCAGCAGCCAUGGACACGGACGACACUCACGAGCCGGCGUCCCCUACCUCGGCGUCUUCAUCUUCGUCGUCGUCGUCUGCCUCCUCGUCCUCCCAGGCCCAGGCCCAGGCCCAGGCCCCGAAGAAGCGGGCGCGGAAGGACGGCAGCCGGCACCCGACGUACCGCGGCGUGCGCAUGCGGAGCUGGGGCAAGUGGGUGUCCGAGAUCAGGGAGCCCCGCAAGAAGUCGCGUAUCUGGCUGGGCACGUUCGCCACCGCGGAGAUGGCAGCGCGCGCGCACGACGUGGCCGCGCUCGCCAUCAAGGGCCGCGGCGCGCACCUCAACUUUCCGGAGCACGCGCACCUGCUCCCGCGCCCGGCCUCCGCGUCGCCCAAGGACGUGCAGGCGGCCGCCACGCUCGCCGCGGCCGCCGACUUCCCCCCGCCGCCGCCGCCGUCCUCGUCCUCCGCCGACGCCGGCGCCAAUGCCAAGAGCCCCGAGAGCAGCAGCUCCGACGACGCCAGCGCCGCCGCCUCGCCGCCCCACGAGGCGACCCCGCAGGACGCCGAGCCGGACCCCGACGACGCGCUGUUCGACCUCCCGGACCUGCUCCUGGACCUGAGAUGCUGCGGCCCGUCCUCGUGGGCCGUCGACGACGAUAUGGCCGUUUCCGCCGGCGGCGCGUUCCGCCUCAUCGAGGAGCCGCUGCUGUGGGAGUACUGAUCAAUGCCCACAGACAUCGCGGGUUCGUUCUUGGAGCAGUCGCCACGCCAGUCAUCAGCAACUCCCCGCAUCGCCGCUAGUUGAGUAUUAGAACCGAUCGGACACAUGUAAAUGCCACCGCUUUCGUUCCUCCGUUCUGCCCUUUCUCUUCUUUUCGUAGCAAGUUCUUUUUCUCCAGAUUGCUGCUCUCCGUCCGCUGUCCCCUGUUUUCCUUUUGCCAGAUUUAGGAGCCGCGCUUGUACAAAGCUAUUCCCUUUUCGCCUUCUCUUGCUUGAUUUGGGGGACAAGAAUAUGUAUAAUUAACGAGCAUCUUAUCUUCCAUCACUCCACUUUUGGCGUCCGUUGUUUAAUCUCGGUGGUAAAAAAAAGGUUGGUCCGGCCAAAGAGAUUUGGGCAAAUGGACAGUGAUACUUACGCAUCCGGCUCGCCCCCAUACUACUAUCAUCAGCUGCUGCUGCGAGUCACCUGCCUCAUCUGAAAAAGAACGAGGAAAAGUCUCCCGCCUUCCAAGCCACGGCAGGAAUCGGGCGGACGCUCAAAGCGCACUUUAAUUCGCCCUUGAAUGCGCAGCGCGCAUCAGACCCCCGCUCCAAACGGUGACGUGUGCCGCGUAGAGGGAGCGGCGCCAGAGAGCGGAGCGGACCGCAGGCCGCAGCGUGAGAGCAGCGCGCUUAAGGGCCGCGACAGCGACGGCCGCCGCCUGAAAAUGCGGCUUCCGGGUUAAGAUUAGUGCCCGGCCUCGUCACGUAAUCACACGGACACGACACCGAGACGCUCCCCUCCCUCGCGCACUGCGGAUUUCCGGCUCCCUGCCCCGUCGCCAUCGUGCUCGUGCCCGGCGGCCAUUUCGCAAUCCCCGCGCCGCGCCCCGCGAGCGCGCGCCCGACGACUACCCGAGGGAAAAGAAAACGCUCCUCCAGGUUUGAGGACGGCGCCGGGUUGCUGGUCCGCGCGGCAGCGCAGGCCGCACGCGCUGCUGCUGCCACCCACAGUCCCACACCCACCCGCCGCAAGACGACGACGCGCUCGAUGCUUGUCACCACCCCCAUGCGGCACGUACGCAGAUGCACAGAAAUGUGACCUGAUGAGUGCUGCUGGUGGCGGGGAGGACAGCAUGUGAGCAGUGCAAGCGCCAAUGUGGCCGCGCGAGGAGCCUGCCAGUUGCCGCCGCGGCGGUGCGUGAGCAGUGCGCGCUGCCGGUCGUCUCCCGUGCAAGGGACCCUGUGCGCCGAGACGGGCCCUUCUCGGGGAAGACGGGGACCGAUCUAUGCUAUGCUGAAGAUUAGACAGAAACUCUUUUUUUUUAAUCUAAAAAUGCUAAGAUUAGACCGCCGGGUUUGGUCUCUGCUUAGUCACAGCUUAGCAGCAGCUGCUGCGACUUGCCCCAGGGUUUACUUAACAUCAGAGGACAAGGAAAGGGUUACUUGCCAUGGUGCUAGAUGCUACUGCAUCCACGCACCUCGCUUUAGUCCCCUGUCGCUCUUUCUUUUUUGGUCCGUUUGGCUUGCAGGUCUGGUCGAUUGCGUGACCCUUUCGGUUUCGGACCGAGCCAGCCAGCCAUCGUUGUCCCGAGGGCGGGAAAUCAAGAAAGUUUUAGCCGCCGGCGGGCGACCAUGUGAUUGCUGCUUCGUUAAUCCCCAUGGCAUUGCUCGAAUCGUGCACGAAGCUGUCGGAUUCUCAUCCUGGCGACACUUGAGUUUGGACAAGGCUGCUGCCUGCUGCCUGCCGGCCUAGUGAUCCGGGCUCGCCCGCACACGAAUCGUGGAGUACUUUCCACAAUUAACUUCCCCUAGAAAUUUGCGGUAGAUCUAACUGCAGGAUUACGUGCACGUACAGACGUACUGGCUGUGGUCGGCUUUUAUUUUCGAGGAAGAGAUUCCGGCGUGGCACGGCGGCACGACGGUCCGCAACAUGGGUUGAUGCCUUCUCCCUACCGCUCUCUGCUCUUUGGGCCAUGCUUGCCGACUUGCCGUCGUGACUGAUGUGAUGAGAAAAUCACAUGCCGUCGCCAAAAAAGGGCGAUCACGCACGCCCGCUGCUGAUCUCCGCGUCUGACCGGACCGGUGAUCUGUGCCUUGGAGUGGUGGACACGUUAUGGACAUUUUUCUUUUAAGGAAAGAUUUUUCAAGCUAUUUUCAUCCGUUAUCACAAUGCGAGAUUCAGUAAAAGUGUAAAACCCAUCCAUCCAUCACUGUCGGGUAUUUGAAUCCUUGAGCUAAAGUUUAGUCCGAGUCACAUCGGAUGUUUGGAUGCCAAUUAGGAGGAUUAAAUAUAAACUAAUGAUAAAAAUAAUUGCAUAAAUGAGAGCUAAAUCGCGAGAUGAAUCCAUUAAACCUAAUUAGUUCAUGGUUAGCACAUGUGAUGCUACAGUAAACAUAUGCUAAUCAUGAAUUAAUUAGGCUUAGAUUCGUCUCGCGAAUUGUAAACAUGUGCUAAUCAUGGAUUAAUUAGGUUUAAUGGAUUCAUCUCGCGAAUUAGCCCUCAUUUAUUUAAUUAUUUUUAUCAUUAGUUUAUAUUUAAUUCUCCUAAUUAGCAUCAAUAUCCAAUACGACCGAGCUAGGAUCCAAAACACCCUUUGUUUUUCCCUUUUUGCGAUGUCCCGCUCCCCGCUCAGAAAUCACGUACUCCACGGUGCUUGCUGCUUGGCGUGAGGUGCUGAGUUGCUGACACGAUGACACCUGGCUGUGCUUCAGUACUCCAGUACCCCCUACGACAAACUCAAACAUCAAGAUUCUUGGGUUAAUAAUUUGGCUAAAAUAUUUUUAUUUUUAAUGUAAAUUUAAUAUGGUUGGAUAUGUUACGUCCAACUAUUAUAAGUUUAUAACAUAAAUAAUAUAAUAUAAGAUAAAUGCUCCAACUAUUAUAAAUUUAUAACAUAAAUAAUAUAAUAUAAGAUAAACGAAGGAUACGAACCGACGGAGAUCUGUGAUGAAUGCUGCCUGCCUCCUGCAACUGCAGGGUGCAGCGAGGGCGUGCAGCGGCGCCAGGUGUCCCAUCCCUCGACAUGGUCGUGGGGUUCGGGGGUAGUGAGGUCCAACCGGCGGAUCAGUCAGGCACAGACAAAUGCUUGGGUUCCAGGCUGGCGUCUGCAACUGCGAGGGCCCUAACCAGGCGGUACGACACCACGGGUCGCGCCGUACGGAGUCAGCACGCGGCAUUGGGGUUUGGGGCACAGCUACGCAUCCGCUGUGAGAUGCUGUGGUGGACACACGGAAGAGUGAAAGCGCAGGCGGCUGCUCGUUCGGUCGCUUCCCAUUUCCCGUUCUUGGGAGGAGGGAGGCAAGGACUUUGACCACAGCCCAGAGGUCAGAUGACACAGGAGGGUGGGAUGAAGGAGGGCAAGCACGGAGUCAUGGCACGGCCUCAUGGGGAUGGACCGAUGGAGUGGAGUAGACAACACUGUUGCGUCACUGUAUUUUAUUUUCCGGUCUGGUUGGCGCGGGUGUACGCCGGCCCGUCCCUGGUGAUCGUCGGAGAAGCAUCGCGGUGGAGAUCGGAAUCUUCUUUCGCUGUACAAAUCCGUAGGCCUUGGGAACAUACUAGCAACGCUACUAGUAUCAGGAAGAUCCAUGCUGUGCGAAAGCCUCGAGACGUCCAGAAUCAGGAGGUGCUCUUGUUGUAAAAGAGCUCAAUGUGAAUGCCAGUUACUAAGGCUCCUUGUUGCUAGGAUCAAUAAUUGGAGAUCAAUCAAAGCACCCAUUCCCCGCAAACGCUACGGCGUCAUGGAAAGGUCAAAGCACCCAUUGCGGCACAACACAGCAGCAUGAGCUAUGCACGCAGGAAAUGCGUACCAGCGCAUCAUUAGCGUACGCCGUAUUACCCACUGAAACCGGAUACCAUGGACCAUCGGCUAGCUCUGUACGAAAGAAAACACUCGAUACAGUAGCCGCCCGCGUGGGAAACAAGUGAAGAAGUAUCAUCCACGCGGUCAAAUGAGCCUUGGACUAGACUAGCCCCCGCCUAGUGGUGGAUAGCUGGAGACCUGGAGUGCUCCCUUUGUCCGUGCCGCAGUUGCAGCCGCCAGCCGGAGUGCCGGACCAUGCCUGCAUGUCUAGCUGGCGAGACUCGACCGAGCGCAAGACGCCAAGGGGCGAGUACGCAUGUACUACUGUACAUCAUCGGCUUGAAUGCCCUCAAGCCCUGAAGAGAGGUCCUGACAGGACUGUGGAUGCCGCCACGCCGAGGGAAAAUUAAAGGCAGGCCGCCGCAUCCGCAUAUGGAUAAUGGACGGCUCGCUCGUCUGCCGCUGUAUGUGUACGGACCCGGCUACUGAGGGAUUCUGUGGAUUCUCCAUUCGUGGCGCCGGCCGGCCGCGUGUCCUCGCAGGCAAAAAGGCUGCCGGCCUUCGCCUGCGCGCGUCAAGCUUUGGGGCAUGGCAGCGGGGGCCUCGGUUGCUACGCGCCCAUGGCCGCUGCUUCGCUGGGUGCGCUUGAACUUUCAAAGCUGUUUGCUACGUGUCUGGAUUUCUGCCCGUCUGUGGUUGUUGGUCCGAUUGAUUGGGAGGUCCUGCGGGUAUUCAAAGCACCAUACGCCAUUACGCCGUAUACGUCGUCCGAGUAUAGCAUCAGUAUUCACUGUCAGCUAAACACAUUAGCAGCUACCACAACCACGCCAUGAGAAAUGAUAGAGCAAACGAAGAAGAAAGCCACUACUCGACUGAUCAUUCGUAUCCAGUUUGUGGUGCGCUCUUGCCUAACCUAACUAGUAACUAAACUACCCAACCAUGAAGCUUGGGUUGUAUUUACUCCUCCAAACCCAAAUCCUUUUCGUCUUAAAUGAAGCCGUUAGGCGAUGAGUCCGUUUCCUUUUGACCGGUUCCCUCUGUUAGCGUGCUGCCGACUUCUCCAAUAUUUUUCACCCUGAUCCACGAUCGCUACAGACGAUACCAGGAAAGGUCCAAGUGGCGGUUCGCGGUUGAGAAGAACGACGCUUUACAAGUGGUAGCCCGCACGAUCGCCACGUCGACGAUGCCGAAUCGAACUCGCCAUCGCGCCCGAAUAGAAGCCCUUGUUUACUUGGGAAGUUGGGAGGUGCCAAAUUGGCAUUUUGCUAUAAAUGCGACACUUUUGUAUUUGUGAAUUAUUAUCCAAAUAUUGACUAAUUAGGCUCAAAAGAUUCGUCUCGCAAAGUACAACAAAACUAUGCAAUUAGUUUUUGAUUUCGUCUACAUUUAGUACUCCAUGCAUGUACCGCAAGUUUGAUGUGAUGGGGAAUCUUCUUUUUGCAUAGUGUCAAAGUUGGAAGUUUUGUGGGAAGUAAACAAGGGCGAAGUUUUGUCCCCGUGGAGGGGGUUUCUCGCCGGGGAAGCCCUGUCACCCUGAUGUUCACCGGCAACCAACCUCGAGAAUUCAAUAUUCGAAUGGCCACCCGGAAAAGCGACCGCGGUGAUGACUGAUUUUAUAGCUAGGCUAGGCCUAGGCAACGACGAUGGAGGCGUCACCUGAUAUUUUGGGGCCGGGAAAUUCCACGUGAAAGCUGCCUCAUGCAGAGGAACGUCGCUGUGCCUGACUAUUCUGCUUUCUGAUGCGAGCAUUUUUUUUCUGACGCUGAUUAAAUUCGCAUCGCCACCAAAGUCAACCAACUUCAUUCCGAGCGCGUCAUCUAACUGAUUGAGGUAUGGUAAAAAGAGAUUCCCAUCACAUCAAACUGUAUAUGCAUGGAGUACUGAAUGUAAACGAAAUUAAAAAAUAAUUGCACAGUUUGGUUGUACUUUGCAAGAUGAAUCUUUUGAGCCUAAUUAGUCAAUAUUUGGACAAUAAUUCACAAAUACAAACAAAAUGCUACAGUAUGCUACAGUGCUGGCGCAGUGAUUUUGGUUCUCCAAAAUCGGGCAAGUCCUGAUUGAUAAACCUUAGUACUACUAGUCUAAUGUGCAGGUACCUGCACAGCUGCACGGCGCGCGGGUACAGCCAGAUUGUUCUGGCCUCUGGGAGUACAAUUGUACUACGUUUUUAUUGAAGUCCUUAUUAUCUGUUAACCGCAAGAUCGUUGUUCAUCUAUGUACGCAUCAAGUCAUGAAGUUAGAAUACUUGGUCGGCUUCUGAACUCCAGAUUGGGUGAAACAUCUGGACCUGAUCAUACAAAUAAAGCUAGAACGCGAACAGAUAACGAUGGGUAUUAGGUCUGCAGCCUUUGUUGUAUAAAUGAAGUCUCCUAUCCUUCAUUGUUAAAAAAAAUUGGAUCUCUCCUAUUCUUCAGUAGAAAACGAUGAACUCUUUUGAUUGCCGGCCGGCCAUUGGCACUGCUCCGAUCUAUCUCAUCCUGCGCUGCCUUUGUUUAUUGUGCGUGCGUAUAAAUAUACGUAUACAGCAACCAGUAGGUAAAACGACGAGGGUUCUAAUCUGGAGGGUCGCCAUAAGAGUAUGUUAUCUAAGGGGGGCAGAUUCCGGUUUAACCGAAACCGAACUCUUCGUGCAGAAAACAAUGUGCUCGGCCGGACAGGUGUUCGGCGGCACGUAGAAUAUCUGCCGCUGCCAGGCUCCAGAUACAUACGGCCACGGCGGCCUCCACCUAGCUUUGCUUACGUCACGCCGUGCAUGCGUGGGCUCGUGCCUGCAUCCGCAUGCAUGCAAUACGAGGCCGCCAACUGCCGCGGGUAGAAUUAUCCUUUCAGACUUCAGAGCGAACACCCAGUCGCGUAGAUUAGACGCAAUGACAAAACUGUGCCGUAAGAGCUGCGUGCCAACGACCUGCCAGUGCCCAAUUAUACGCACACUGAGUCACUGACACACAGUGGUAAACAUGCACGUCGCCGAGAUGAUCGCGAGAGGGACGACACGGCGGGCCGUCGCCGUCACGGUAAGGCAGCGUCGUGCGCGGGUCCUUUUACCGACAGAUCGCUCGCCCGAUCCUGCCGGACCGGAACACGAACAGGGGGCAGGAGGUGGUGGUGCGGUGGCCUCUCGUACGCACAGCAUGACAGCCAUGUGUUGGAACUGCGAGUCUGCGAAGGAACGGUGACCGCCCCGUUCACGUGUUGCCGUUCUGUUCUGGGGGGCCGAUGGCGUUGUUAGCCGGACGGACAGGAACGCGUCAACCACCCACCGCGCGCGCGCGCAAAGCGAGGAUUUGAUGGCCGCGACUAUAGAGACAUGGAUGCUGGUGAAUAAUUAAAGAGGCAGGGACGACAGCUGGACGUGGUGCAACGCGGAUGCAAAGCCGUGCAGCGAUUAGACUCCGCCACGGCGAAUGGCGGAGGGGAUCGCCGGAGGCCGGGGACGGGGAGCCACCAAAAGGGCACUGCACUGGAUGGAUGGGGAGCCGGCAGGUUAAAAGGGCAAAAGGGCACAGAGGUAAAGAGGCGAUGAAACUUCAUUAAAAGAUGAUGUGUAUGGGAUGCGGCAGGGUCGAAAGGGAAAAAAAGAAGAUGGAGGGGACACUGGCCAGUACUAGGAUGCUGGGAGGGAAUACUAGGCGGCACGCACUGUUGCCUGACAGGUUUUUGGCUUUGCAGGUCCAGGUAGGCAUGAUUACGGACAGCUAAGAUCAGGCCCUCGCGUCGUCCUCCCUGGGCGGCACGAGGGCGCUCCGCGCGCUGAAAAAAAAAAGAGCGCCCGCCACCCUCACUAGCUGGCCGGCGGCGGCCCUACCACCCUCUUCUCUCCUCGCCUCCACUCCUUUCCCCUCUUUCCUUCUCUUCCUUUUUCCUUUUGCUUCUUCCCAUAGCAGUUGUGGUGGCGUGGCGGCCGCCUCUUGCGGCUUUGCGGCGUGGCUGCUGACGGUUCCCAAUCUGUGCUUGAGGUGGAUGGAUCCGCGUCUCCCCUGAUCGGAUCCGGCCUUUCCCCUGUCGCGGUGUUCCUGUUGGCCUUCGAGCCAGCGUUAGCCGGCAAUGGUGAGCUGGCUCAUGGCGCCCGCAGCAAGGACAACUUGCCCAGUUUGAUUUCAUCUUUUUUUUAAUAUAAUUGGCAGCUCUUCUGUUUCUUCGUUUAAAAAAAGAUUACGGGCAGCUAAGGUCGCUGGGAAUUUGUUUAAGUCACUCGCGUUGUUAGGCGGCUGACAGGUAGCCUUGCAUGCAAUGCCCUACUUACAUGCAGUGAUGCAGGCACACGACAAAAAUGACUUUAUCACGAGUACCUUUCACUCUCAAUUCUUUUCGUCUCCCCCAGCACUUUCCUAGGAGAUGGUUGUAGACGAUGGGCAUCGGGAGGCCAAUUAUGAAGCCACAGCACGGUAAGUCCGAAAUUGAUCGCAGAUCGCGAUGGUGGUGGUAAAUUUAGCUGGUGUUACCCAUGGAUGAGUAUGGUCGAUCGGUGAGCACAUACAGUGUUGUCAAGCAUGGUGCUGCUGUAGCUGCUGUUUGGGGGCCCGUCUGGGCGAGAAGCAUAGACGGCCGGACGUCGUCCUGGGCCGGCCGAAUCCCCGGAUCCAGGACUAGGAAGGAGGACCAUCCAGACAUGACUCGGCGCGUAGCUGCUGACUGCUGUGGUCCUGGACUCCUGGUUUUUGAUGAACUCUAGCAUUCCAAACAGCGAAACGAUCAAAGUCCGGGCCCUCCGUACGUACGUUCGGACAGCUGCACAUUCCUGAUGAAGAAGAUGAACAAGCAAUCGCGUCAGGCUGAAAACGUGUGACGACGCGCGCCAUGUGACAUGAUUCUCCCCACACACGCACUAUCCCUGUUCACUUGGACCAAAAGUUCUGGGCUCCUGGGCCCCUGGCCCGGCCACCUGUCCGCACGUCAGCCCGAGGCCUGCUCAGUCACACGAGGCUAGAUGGAUCGCCCUCGCCCGCAAAAUCUUGUCCGGAAGGCGGCGCAACCCGGCCAAUGAACCAACAAGGCAACAACCCUGCCCGUGCCCCGGACAGCCACGCCCACACGCCCCGCGCUCGCGAGGCAGGGGAGCAGGGAGCUAGACCCCGCCGCGACACGAGGCGGCCGCGCGCAUGUGCGCUGCCGGCCGGGGGCUCGCGCACGCGGCAGGCAUACGUACGUGCGCCGCGUCCGUGCGGAGCCAUCAAAACCCUACCGGGCGCCGGGCGGGGCAACCGGUGAAGUGAAUGAAGGGACUUGGCUUUAGCCGCGGCCUACCGAGCUCGCAAAUAAUUGGCGUGGUCGAUAGGACGACGCGGCAAGCAUGGCCCCGCGCGGUUAGCUAGCUCGCGAGGGCUCCAGAGAACCGGUGCGCUCGAUGCAUCCUACGUCAUAUAGCACCAAACCGUCGUUACUGAGAUUGCGAUUUGGCGCUACCUCGCGCUCUCGUGAACGAUGGCAUGCAGUUGAUACGCCCGACCGGGCACGGUGGGGAUCGGAGCGUGCGAGCGUCGCCGGCCGGCGUCGUGGCCGCAGAGCGCGCGGCUCCCGUACAGUAAUUAGUGGCGUUCCUGGCCGUUUUGGCGGAGAUUUCAUGCGCCGUGUGGCGCGUGUUCGUGGUUGCUGCUCCCAGGACAGGAUUCAGUAGGCGAACGGUGCUCGCCUGGGUCGUCUGCGAGGUCGCCUCCGAUAAUAGCGAAUGCGCCAUCAGUACCGGUUGAGAACCCUCUUUAGUAUCGGUUUUGCAACCGGUAUUGGUAGUUUGGUAUCAAAGGCACUCGUAGAAAACUAAUUUUCUAUCCAAUUUCUUUUAUCCCGGUUAAUAUUGGGUCCGGGACUAUAGUGCCUUUAGUAGGGUCAAAAAUGUACCACCGAAAGCCACCACCGGGGGGGGGGGGUUAAUCCCGGUUAUAAUCGCUAGAAAAUAUCGCACCAACGCCCUCACCCUUUUGUCCCGAUUGGUAAUUUCAACCGGGAUAAAAGGGGGGUUUUUGUUCCGGUUGGAAACUGUUGACGUAAAAAAUCGGACAGUGGUCCCGACUCUUGCGUCGAGCACACGACUCGGGAGAAUCUGCUUAGCUUUUGUUCGGGUUAUCGCUCUGGUGCGUUUCACGCGACGUGCCAGUCAAUUUGACCUGUUGAUUGACAAGGAAGAAAAGAUGUCAAAUUUCAGAGAUUCGAUCGGCUGAAGUUUCAAUCUACUCCAAAAGAUGUAUCAGCGGGUUGGCCGAUUUAAUAUAAGGAUGACCGGCUAUGAAAACAGCCGGUAAUCACGUAGCAAAUGUAAAAGAAACUACUAAAGUAACCUAAACAAUACUACAGGGACAACACUUGAAACAUAUUUAAUCGACUGUAUGAUGAUAAACAGUGUAUUGAUAUAGCCGACAGUUCGUGCCUCAAGCUAGAUAACUGGUGAUAAAAACUAAAAUAACGGGUAAAACCUAUAAUUCUAGCAAAUAUCGAUAACUAGUGAAUAAAUCUAAACGAAACAACAGUGAUGCACCCGAAGUUAAAGCUUAGAUAUUACUCGAAACGCGGAACUUACAAAUUAGCUGGAGACCACGUUGAUGUAGCCCUGCCAACUUGCACGAACUCGUGAAAAGAAAAAGGUUUGGCGAAGUCGCCGGCUUGAAAAUAAAAUUGCGUGGAAAAGUAGAUUUGUAUUGAUGUUUUGUUGAUCUUACCAACCUCACGGGGCACCUAUUUAUACCCUGUUACAACUCGUUUACUAAACGACUACGACUCAAUAUUCUAUUUCUUAUUCAAAGCAACAAAUAUUUACAUACGGAUACAACUUGUAUAGGAGUCGAACAUCAUCCAACCCUCUAUAGGCCAAUCCUAUCUUCAUCUUGUUAUCGCCUUGGCCCAUUUAAGCUCAUAUCGGCCGAGCUGUUCUGGCUUCCAAUCGGCCAGUCCUCAUCGAUCUAAUCAGCCAAAACACUGUAGCUUAAUCGGCCGAUCUCUUUAACCAUAGCCUCUUGUUUAACCGCAUCGGCCACUUUUUUUCUGCUCUUGGCGCCAACCCUGACACGUGUCAAAAACUGACGUCAACAGCAACAACACAAGGGCUCGUAGGCACGCACAUAGAUCUCCUCUCCUUCUCAUCUCUCCUUCUUAUCUCCCUUUCUUAUCUUUUCCACGCGCACAUAGCUAACAGCUCCUCCUCUCCUUUUCUUCCUCCUCCUCCUCAUCUCCUUCCUCCUCCUCUCCCUCCGGCGUGGGCGGGCGCGGGUGGCUGGCUCCUCUUCCUCCUCUUCUUCUCUUCCUCUCCCACACCCUCCCCCUCUGCUACCCCUCAUUGGCAGUGAGGAGUGGUAGCGGGGCGAGGGAGGGCGCGACACAUAGGGGGAGCGGCGCUGGCGGAGUGGGGCGGAGCAAAGCAGGUGCGCUCGGCGACGUGGGACGGAGCAGCACCGGCUGGUGGAGGCGGAGGCGAGCAGGCGGAGGCCGGUGCAGGCGCGGGCGGCCGAUGGGCGUGGGGUGUGGUGGCUUGUUUUUUAUUUUCUUUUGGAACUUUUUAGUCCCGGUUGGUAAGGAUCUUUAGUCCCAGGUGAAUGACCCGGGACUAAAGAACCCCCUCUUUGUCUCGAAAAUUUAAUCCCGAUUGAGCAUUGGAGAGAUGUAGCUCUUACCAACCGAGACUAAUGCCGUGUUUUCUAAAACUGAGAGGGGCCUAAGUGGUACUAUAGGGGUAUUAAAAAAUAAAAAAAGAAAUCCCACCCCGCCGCCCCGAGCCCGGGCCCCCCGCCGCCGCAUACCUCCCGCUACCGCCCGCAGCCCGCCGUCGCCGCCGCCCCCAGCCACGCAUCCCGUCGCCGCCGCCACCCCCGCAUCCCGCCGUCGCCAGUCCAUCCGCCUGGUCUCAUCGCCGCAUCCCGCCGCCCCCAGCCUCGCAUCCCACCGGCCGCUUCGUGGCCCGAUGGCUGCCUCCGCUCCUCACCUCAGGCACGAGGUGAGGGGCGAGCGGAGGGGGGAGGAGAGGGGAGGGAGGGAGUUGGUCGGUGGAGGGGGAUGGAGGGGCCAGGUCGGCACCAGCCUCCUAGAGGGAGGGAGGAAGGGCUGGUGCGGAUUGAUGGAGAGGGAGGCGGAGGGAGGGAGGGCGCAGAUGGAGAGGCAGAUGGAUAAAUUAAGGCUUGCACAGUCAGGGAGUAGCGGAUGGAUAAGGCCGCGCGGAUGGUUGGAGGUGGAGGAAACCUUUAGCAUGUGUUUGGUUUUGGGCUGAAGUGGAACGGGUUGGGUUCAUCCCAAUUUUGUGGGUUGGGUUCAAUCCAUCUCGUGUUUGGAUGAGAGGGAUGGGUUCAUUCCAGUCUUUUGUUUGGUUGAAAGGGUUGAGAGGGAUGUGAUGGAUGCCAUUUUAACAUCGUAAGAAACGGGUCCCACUUAUCAGCUGCAGGGCUUAUUUGUCAUCCUUUUUUCUUUUUUCUACCUCACCUUCCUCUUCAUCCUCCCUCCACAAAUCUCCUCGACCCCGCUGUCGGUUGCUCCCCUACGAGGCUCUAAACCUGGAACCCCUGACCAUGACGAACCCCUCCCUCCACCCAUCGCCGCCUCCUCCCACUCGCCACCGCUGUCGUCAGGGCGCAUGAGGAGUGGCACCCGCUCCCGCUCUUCGCCGCCGACCUCUCCCUCCCGUUCACGCUCCCCAUCGGCCAGACCUUGCUCUGGUGCCGAACCUUGUCCGGCCAGUGGUAGGGCUCGAGCACACUCGGCUAGCGGGGGUGAGGCGCGAGCUCGUCCAGCCGCGGCGGGGCUCGAGCUUGCCUGGCCGCCAGCGUGGGGCUCCAGGCGUGGGUGACCUCUAAGAGCGGAUGGAGAACGACGCUGUUGAUGCGGGUCGAGUGCGUCCGCUCGUUUUGGGUGGAUGCAUUCAACCCACAUCUAGAAGGAAUAUUUCCUCUUGGAUCCGACCCAACCCAGAUGCAUUUUCAACCAAACGGGGAUCGAUGGGGGUCGAACCCAUUCCAACAUAGUUCGACCCCCAAACCAAACACACCCUUAGUACCAGACGGGUCCAUAGACCCGGGGUUCCCAAUAAACUUUUCCGCAAUGCUCGGCCCAACAAGCGGUGCAAUGACAAUGCGCGCUUGGGCCGGCCUAGAUACGCGACGCUAGGCCGUGAUCACGAUCCAGCCACCGACCGAUGCCUCCGACCAGAAGGCCUGGUCGGCACCCCGACCAGGAGGCUUGGUUGGGCUGGGACCACAGUCCGACUUCGCCUCCGCAAGGAAGCGCUCGCCCUGGCGUCACAGGGAGGAGGAGCUCCCUCCGUGGGUCUCGGGCCACUCGAUGACCUCGGCGUUGAGGCACUCACGCUCCACCUCGAGUCCAUGUUUGGCUCGAACCCCACGGUGAGUGAUGUGGACAUUGUCUUGUAGUCGUUGUUUAACACCUUCUGCCAGCUCUCCACAGGACCCCUGUUGUCUCCGUCGCGCUCGCCACGUGACCGGCUCCCCUACGACCUCACGUCCUCCGCAGACGUGUACACACGGGGGCUCCGAAGGGCCAUGACGAUGACCCCUCUCACAUGCGAGUUAUUGGGGAUGGUGGGCUAUGCCCCUGCCUCCUUCCAUGACCUCUUCAAUGAAGAGGACAAAAGCGACGGCUCCAGCAUCGGCGACUUAAUGGCACCUAGCCAUCAUCUGUUGCGGGAAUGCGCCAUGGCGGAUGCCCCGGAGCAACCACUGGAGGUGGUGGAGUUCCAAUAGACUCACACCCCCCGGACCCUCAUGCGAAGGCCCCGACGCGUGCGCAGGUGCAUGGUGACGAGUUGCGACAGCGGCGGUUGAGCCGGCAGCCACCUGCAAAGACGCGCUCUGCGCAACGCUCGGAGCCACGCGCGUCCAACCCGAUGGGCGGCGCUCGAAGCCACACCCGCCAGGUCAAGCGCAACAUCUUGGCUGGAGGAGUCGAUCCCCCUCAGUUCGUUCGGGCUGGCCAGAACAUCGUUGUUGCGAUGAUGCUUCUGCACAACCUCUCUGAGCCCGUCGACCCCCAGGAGCAGGCGAUUCACCAGAACCUUCGAGCACUGGUGGAAACUGGCACCGUUCAGUAGGUGGAGAGCUCCGCGUUGAGACAGCGGCAUGCGGCCUCUUGCCCGACCGAGGCAUUGGGGCCGCACUUGUCAAAUCGCUCCAUCCGCGCACCACAGCAGCCGCCUCAAGCGGGGCAGGGCAUCACGGUCACACCGCAGCCCGACCCAGCACUUGCUCCAUGGUCUCCGUAUGUGCGCGAGCAACUUGGACCAACCUGUGAUUCUCGUAUCAUCAUCAACACACGGCGCCAGGCUCGGCACGACGCCGAUGUCAACCGAAUGGCGGCGAGCGUGGGCGGUGCGGGUCCCAGCCAGCCUGAUGAGGAGUAUGAAGACACGCACCCUAGGCAUGGUGGGUGACUGAGCGACCGGUACGGCGACCGGAGCCCCAGCCCGGACGGCCCGGGACCACGGGCCUACGGUCGCCGCAUCCAUAAAGCAUCAUUCCCACAACGUUUCCAACCGCCCACCAACAUCGUCAAGUACACUGGGGAGACAAACCUCGGUGUAUGGCUCGAAGACUUCGGGCUUGCCUGCCGAGCCAGUGGAGCGGAUGAUGACUACUUCAUCAUCCAGUACCUCCCCAUCUGCGUAAGGGAGUUUGUUUGGGAAUGGCUCGAAUUUCUACCACCCAACAGAAUCCACGACUGGGCGAGCCUCUAGAAGGUCUUCGUCGGGAACUUCCAGGGGACGUACGUCCAUCCUGGGAAUUCUUGGGACCUCAAGAGCUGUAAGCAGGAGCCCAAUGUGUCCCUGCGGGAUUACAUCCGCAGGUUCUUAAGGUAGUGCAACUCCCUUCCUGAUGUCAGCGACGUAGAUGUCAUCAUCACCUUCCUCUUUGAAACAACUUGCAAGACCCUGGUCCACAAGCUUGGCUGCCUGAAGCCCUGUACCACCCGUGACCUUCUUGACAUCGUCACAAACCACACCUUGGAUGAGGAGGUGGUCGGGGGGGGGGGGGGGGGGUCUUCAGCGGCGGUCGGGACAAGGGCAAGGCCAAGCGUGAGGCACCUACGACUGAAGGACAACGACGGCAACAUCCACAACAACUCAUGGAACAUUGAAUAGUUAUGUCGUUUCUUUCCCUAGCUCGGUUUUACUGGUCAUUUCCAUUCAACGCUCGCUCCUACAGCACCCCAGCCCGAGCACUCUCGGCCUGGGUCGCUCAGGGGCUCCAUGGGGGUGUGAUACCACCCCUCUUUACUUUCGCGCAAUCACGCACUUCGCCCAAUCGAAAGGGCGUCCUGUUCCUCUGACUACCCUAAGUAGCUUACGCUCUAGCCUCUCGACCUAGCAAACCCCGCCACGACCUGCGGUCACGAGCAGCUGAGCCUCGCAGGCCCCGCCUGGGUUCUAAAGGUUGUAGCCUACGGUCAACAGGCAGGUUUGAAAGGAAAAGGGCAAAAAGCAAAAUUACUUAAGGGUAAAAACGAGAGCGAGCGGGACAAGCUCCCUCUCACGAUUAAGAAGAUUGCGAUCACAAAAGAACUUAAAUUGUUCGCUCGGGGGCUCUUAGUCCCCCACGAAUUCAUUCCGAUACAAAAACUAACAAUUUCUAUGAAAUUUUACUACGCCCCUCGGUCGCGUCGGCUGGCGGUGCGGCUGGCAAGGAUGAAAGUGCCUCAAGAUGCGAUCAGGACGGUGCUCGGCUCCGACCUGGCCUCCGCCGCUUCAACAGGAUUGGCAACACCCUCUUGGCCCACGCUCGCGGCCUCCACCGAGUUGCUAGACUCCAUCACCCACUGCGCGGUGGUCUGCUCAACGACCACCUGCGCGUGCAGCACCAAGCUCUGUCCCCGCUUCUGGAUCUCGUCCAUGCUCCACCAGCCGGCAAACCCUCCGCAGACGGCCUCUAAGUCCAGGUCAGGGUAGUGGGUCGCCACCAAUGUCAGCACCCCCGAUACCCCGUAGAACAUGCGAUUAGAGAUGAGCGCCCUAACUUCAACCGGGAUCUCCUGGAGCUGGACGGCAGGCGUGCUGGUGGUCGGGCCUAACCCGAACACCUCAACGACCACCAUUUUCACCACGUUGCGGAGUUGGUCGAGCUCUGCCUCGGUUCGCUCCUCUAGGGACCGGGCCAGUGCCUCUGCACUCCGACCGACCGCCGCUCGGGCCACCUCUAAGUCCGACUCCAGGGCUGCACAAAACGCCAAGUCAAUAAAAGGCAAAAAUGGGUACAACCACGACUCAAGCUUCCAAGACGGCAAAAUUUACCCUUCUUUUCGGUGUCGGCCGCACGGCGGGCCUUCUCCGACUGCUCUAGCUCCUGCCACAGAAGGCCAAUCUUUUCAUCCAGCUCUGGUGAUGAAGCCGGCGAAAUGCAGCACCUCAGUCGAUUGUGGUGCUGCAGCUCCAAUCCCCACUCAUUGAGGAGCCUGUGCAGGAACCAGUGCGCGGGACACCUGAGCCCGCACUCGUGGAAGGUAAGGAAGGAGACGACUUCAUUGUGCUGGGGCUACAGAACAUCUUCCCCCAGCGCAGGAGCCCUAUAGUGCGCCUUCUCCUUUGGCGGGAGUAGCCCCUUCUCCGUGAAGGCGGCCAGCAUGUCCUCCCUCACGAUGGAUGGCCUCCAGUUCGACAUUGCGCACCCGAUGGAUGAACAAAUCAGUAAGAUCUCCCUCUCCCUCUCUCUACCCUUCUUUCUCUUGAGAUUCACCGUGGUGCGUGAAAGAGCUUGGCGAAAGCAAGAAGGAAGGGGAAGCGGCAGCGGCUAAAGGGAGGUGAAAGGACGAGAAAAAACCCUCCAUCUUCCCCCUAUUUAAUGGGGAAGGCCGCGCAGAGUCCUAGCUGACGGGAUGUGGCUUGGGUGGGGCCCACCCACUACCACAACACGGGCACAAGAAACAAGGCACGUCCGCACACGAACAACCCUCCACCUUCCCGGGCAGGAUUUGAAGGGGCCCACCACUAAAAUCUCCAUCGAGGAAAGGCCAGGGCGAACCCGCUUGAGCUCAUCGAGCCCAUCACUCGAGCCAUCAAGGCAAGUGGCGUCAGCUCAACCCCGCCGGCUACAGAAACCGCGAAUGCGGCAAUGCAUAAAAACCCAACCGAGGUAAUUUUGCUAACCCUUCGUUUUCUUUCCCAAUGCAAGAGGAUUCAUUCAUUCAUUCAUCUCAUGCAUGCAUACACUCAUUCAUUCAUUCAUCUCAUACAUACGAUCAUCGCAUCACAUUGGUUUGCGUUGUGUCACAAAGCAAAAGUCGGCUCAUUCGAAAUUAGCUGCGACUGAUCGAGGUUCGAAGGCCGGUCCGCAAUGGACUCGAGACCGCCUCGUGUCAAAUGGAGCCAGGGGAAAAGCAGAUGAGCCCUAGCGACCUCCGCCUGACCCGCUUAGAAGCGGCAGGGUCAUCUCAACUUCUCGUUCGAUCCUGACCUCGAGCCAUACCCACGGAAUCUCCAUUGAGGAGAGGCCAGCGGGCCACCCAAGUCAGUCAGACAGCUCGGGCAUCUGUUGGGAGGCAAGUCAAGGAGCAGUGGAAUGCCACAUGAAGGCUAUGCCGACCCCAUCACGAACGACAGACCCGGAUUCCACUCGGACAUACCCGUUAGGAGCUCACCGAGCCUACCACUUGAGCCAUCGAGGCAAGUGGCAUCAACUCAACCCCUCCGGUUGCGGAAACUACAGACGAGGUGACGCAGAAUAAGACACGACCGACCCCGACCAGCCCCUCCAAAGAACAAGGGCUCUGGGGCUCGGGCCGCUAGAUUCCGACUCGAAAGUCUGACCGGUGACACGGGUCGCGAUCGGGAACACACGCUGGCAAAUGCCCUGACUCGGACGCACCCGAUCACAGCUCACCGAGCCCAUCACUCGGGCCAUCAAGGUAAGUGAUGUUAGCUUGACCCCUCCGGUUAGAGAAACCGCAAAUGGGGUGGCGCAAAUCAAAGUCACGAUCGACCUCCCUGACCGCCCCCUAGGGGUUCGGGGGACUCGGGCCGCCAGAUCGCGACUCGGGAGUCCGAUCAGCGACACAGGUCGCGGUUGGGAACACACACGGGCGAAUGCCCCGACUCGCAAUAAGGACCGUCUCAUACUGACUGGUGGGGACACACAAGUCCACGACUCUGGAAAAAGUAUGGAAGUACUUAGUUCCGACUCGACCGACUGUUGGGGAAGCAUACGAACGAAGGACAAAAUCAUCCUUAGCUUUCCCUCUCUCUCUCCGGCCAUCUUUUCGGUUAGCCGUAGGCUCGGGGGCUAGACCCAUCGGGUCCGCUCGCGCGAACCCGGCAAAAAAUGGCCUACCAAUCGAAACUCAACAGCCCCUUCACGGCUUCAAAAAGCCCCAAAAGGGCUCGGGGGUUGCUAACAGGUCCAUAGACCCGGGGUCCCCAAUGAGCCCGCUUUUCCACAACGCUCGACCCAACAGGCGGCGCAGCGACAAUGCGCACUUGGGCCGACCCAGAUAUGCAACGCUAGACCGUGACCACGAUUCGGCCACCAACCGACGCCUUCGACAAGGAGGCCUGGUCGGCACCCUGACCAGGAGGCCUGGUAGGGGCCGGGACCACAGUCCGACUCCGACAAAGUUCCCCUGACCAGGCAUAUGCCUUUGAUCGGAUCGACGCACAUUGCUCCCUCCUGACCGACAUGGUCGGGACCGACCGGGACGAUCAACCGGUUACGCCUGCUCGGUAUUGGCCCGAGGAGCAGGUGGAACGGAUAAGGGAAGACGCUCGGUCAACCGCCGUACAGCGGAUUGUACCUCGCCACGCCCUGCUCACGCAACGCACAGGUAAGGCGAAAACUAUGCUACCUGUCGGUCACGAUGGAGCGACCGGACGAGAUGAACAGGGAUGGAGGACGAUGGCCAUCCCAUACCCGAUGACGUGGGCACUGACAAGAUUAGGCAGCGCCCGUGCGCCUUUCUCUCCCUCUCUCUGACUUGUAAGGUCGUCCCCUUGAACUAUAAAGGGGGGGGCUCUCUCGAUCGAUCGAUCAGAGACUCUCUGGCUUUCUCGAGAUACUCUGAUACGCACUCGAACACUCUCUCCAACACUUAGCGCACGUUCGAGUCCCCAUCACUCUCCUCCACUCGGACCAGAGCACGAUUGGGCCUCGAACACCCCCUUCUCCACUCCUCGCUCGUUUGUACCCCCACUGCAAAAUUCAAGCACCUGGGCUCAGGAAUACAAUCGACCGACCGACCCCCGGGCUCGUUGCCUGAACUAGUAUAAAUCCUGAGUCAUUGUGUGCUAGGCUAUAUCCGAUCUAAAGCGCGGCAAACUACGUAUAUUUACGUGUCGGCCAGAUUCCACACCGACAUUACCGGGUGUAGGUUUCACCCGGUACGAAAGGUCACCCUGUAGUACUGGGUGGAGCCGGCCCUCAGGCACAUUAGGAAUGGGUGCUCGAUACUAGUGGGUGACCUUUACUACCAGGUGAGCCCCCACUCGGUACUAAAGGGGCUCACGGGGAUCUAUCCAUUAGACCCGAUACUAAUGUGUCCGGUACUAAUGCUUACAUUAGUACCGGACUAAAAUGCAACCGAUACUGAGCCUUGAACGAACGAAUGCUCAAUUUUCGAGCGGUGCUUAGCGUGCAACGAAUGGCCUGCGCGAUGCCGCCAUUGGCACGAGGGGGGAUGGACGGUGGGGGCUACCUUGCCGGACAAACAAAUGUGACGGGUUCCACUACGACGACGUGCGGACGUGCAUGGUGGCAUUGGCAUCUCCUCCUUACGGGCAGGUUCGAGGUUGGCGUGCCGGGCUGGAAAAGGCCUAGUGCGGGAUGCGGCCCACACUAGCUACUACAGUCAACAGCGCACUGGAACUGAGCAUCGAUCGCCACACGUGGCUGACGGGACUUGAACGCACGCGCCAACGUUCUCGAAUCUGGAGGGACACAAAAGGCAAAUUUGUUCGUUGACGUUGCGCUUUGUAGGUGCCCAAGAGCGCCGGGCUGCUUUUACACGUGCUUUUACCCAACUCGAACAGGGUUUGAACCCUUCAGAUCAAGGUUCCCUCGAUCAUUGUGAGUUGUUGGGAUACUCGAUUGCAGCCAUGACUCCGGUCUCCAGAGACCUGAAGAGACCCUUAACACGUUACACCUGGGCGCUGAUCGUAGAUUCGUACCCAGUUGUUGCCUGGGGACCGGAACCACUACGGGUGAGCACGACUCGCAUAGUCGCAUGCACACGGGUGGCUUGUAUUUACCGGCCGGACAUCAUGUCUCCGAAUACGCAACGCGCUUACUUAAGGUCGAUCAGCUCUAGAAGAACAAACACGUGCAUCAGCUUUUCGCGAGGGGUGGGCUCAAACGCGGGACACUUGUAGCUCUAGGCUCUAGCCUGCAUUUCGCCAUGCAUUUCCAGAAACGGAGACGACGACCUUUUUUCUAUUCUUUUGAACCUUGAAAGACGAGGAUGGCCUCGAAGUGUCAAACGCGAAUGAUGGUGCAGCCCAAAGUGCGGCGACUUUCACGACGUGACCCGUCGCAGGACGUCAUAAUGCUGCUGCUCGAUUUCGGGUGCGUCAGCGCAUGAAUGCGAUUAUGCAAUGCCGAAGAAGGCAGAUCGCGAACGAACAGUCGGUUCAGAAAUUAACCACAUGGAUGUAUUCGGUACGGGAGAAGCAUCACGAAUCGGUCUGCGGUCAGCAAUGAGAGAUAGAACGGCGACAGGAAUGGGAAAAUGGAUCGAGGAAAAGGCCUAUCCAUACGACCAUACGCUCGUGCGCCGUCACCAACCUGUCACCACAAUCCACAGACAGAAGAUAAUACUCCGUAGGACACUUUACAUCCAGCUAAACGUUUGCGAAGACUGGUUGUUCUAUAUUUUUCUUAAAGCAAAACAACGUUGGUUUUCAACAGAACAGGGCCACGAACCAUAAAAAUGGAGAUCAACUACCAACGACAUCGACCAUGAGCUAUAUCUCCUGUUGUCAACGUCAGCUUUUGGUGAUGGAAAUGUGGCCCCCACAAAAGUCAGAUAUGUUGAUAGGAAAUGGUUGCGUAGGAUCCAUUUCGUACGACUAAAGAGAAGAAAAAUGGCAAAAAGUUUUACAGGACAAUCAAUUGAAAACUCAAAACCGGGAUGCCAACGAGCGGGGUUAAUGUAACAAACGCUUAAUCCUCGGAAACUAACUGCCAGAGUGCCGGUCGCGUGCCCACUGGAAUCCUUUAUUUUUAAAUAAAUGGAAGCCAAAUUUUGAGCAAGCCAGGAGCUAUUCGUUAAUCGAAUCUGGUGUUUUGUGGCUUGGUCUCAUGUUGUAGCCUAGGCUGGCUGGGCCUGUGGCGCGACAGUCUAUGACGAGAAAAGGUGGGGAAUAUGGGCUCGGAAGAGAGGAGGGCCGGAGGAAGGAAAAAUAAGAAGAAAUGGGCCGCGGGGAGGAGCAGACGAAAUGGGCCGGACAAGGGAAUUUCGGCUACACAGGCAGGACACCAGCAACACCGGAAAACCUAGGCAUUUCGUCGAACACCAACGCGGAGUCGAGCACCAGCCACCGCAGCCACCAUGCUCCUCACCAAACCCCACCUCUCCAACCCGCUCGCCCCAUCCGCGCCGCCCCCCAACCCCGCUACCAGCUCCAGCCAUGCCAGGCCCCUCGCCGCCCCCACCGCCCGUCGCGGCCGCCUCCGCAUCUCCGCCACUUCCGCGGCAGCGCCCGCCGCCACCGCCGCCGCCGCCGCGCUGAGCCGAGUGGACGUGCUCUCGGAGGCGCUCCCCUUCAUCCAGCGCUUCAAGGGCAAGACGGUGGUGGUCAAGUACGGCGGCGCCGCGAUGAAGUCGCCGGAGCUCCAGGCGUCAGUGAUCCGCGACCUCGUCCUCCUUUCUUGCGUGGGCCUCCGCCCCGUACUCGUCCACGGCGGGGGCCCGGAGAUCAACUCCUGGCUGCUCCGCGUCGGCGUCGAGCCGCAGUUCCGCGACGGCCUCCGCGUCACGGACGCGCUUACCAUGGAGGUCGUCGAGAUGGUGCUCGUCGGCAAGGUCAACAAGAACCUCGUCUCCCUCAUCAACCUCGAGGGGGGCACCGCUGUCGGCCUCUGUGGCAAGGACGCGCGCCUCAUCACCGCGCGCCCGUCACCCAACGCCGCGGCCCUCGGAUUCGUCGGCGAGGUCGCGCGCGUCGACGCCACCGUUCUCCACCCCAUCAUUGCCUCGGGCCAUAUCCCGGUUAUCGCCACAGUGGCCGCCGACGAGACUGGGCAGGCCUACAACAUCAAUGCUGACACCGCGGCUGGCGAGAUCGCCGCUGCCGUGGGCGCCGAGAAGCUGCUGCUGCUGACGGAUGUGCCUGGGAUACUGGCUGACCGUAAUGAUCCUGGGAGCCUGGUGAAAGAGAUUGACAUUGCCGGGGUUCGGCAGAUGGUGGCCGACGGGAAGGUAGCAGGUGGGAUGAUACCCAAGGUGGAGUGCUGUGUGCGCGCCCUCGCACAAGGUGUGCACACCGCGAGUAUCAUUGAUGGGCGUGUUCCACACUCGUUGCUGCUUGAGAUUCUCACAGAUGAGGGUACUGGCACCAUGAUCACUGGCUGAGGUGGUCAUGACUUAUGGUAUUUUCUUGAACCUCUCUUCUCAUGGUCGUGUAUUUUAUGGGAAUGUAGACUUGACUCAAGAUUGCAAUGAGAAUGUCGUUCGCACAUUUGUGGGAGCAUAAGUUUGAUUGAGGUGGUUCUGCAGCCAUUUAUUUGUGACUCUGUUGGCAUCUAACUGAGAAGAUGCUGAGAUUGUGUAGUUUGUUUAGUAAAUUUGAUCAGUUUGCGUUAAAAUGCAAUCUAUUCAAAUGAAGUAGUAUUUGUUCGACUGUGUUCAUUUUUUAAAAAAGGAAACUUCUAUGCAAUUGUCCUUUAAAGGUUGUAACUAUACAAUACAUAUUAUCACACAUUCUGAGAAUUUAUAUGAUGCUUGGACUAGUUAGUUUUUUUCCUUGAAUGUGAGAACAGAAGAGAGCAUGUAAACAGAGAGGGGUGCUUUCAGUAAGUUAAGUUGACUGAUUAAGUUUGCAAAAUAAGGUGUUUGCUUUGUAUCCGCAACUGCAAUUGGACAGCCUUUUAUAAAUGCUUGGUUGUGAAUCUGUUACAUGUGUAAAAUUUAGCCCCUUAAGAUAAAUAGUGACUCAUGCCCCAUUUCACCACCUAUUUAUCUCUGAUUUAACCCCUUAUAUGAGUGUAUGCCUAAAUAGAAUUGGACUAAGGUCACCUAAUGAAAUGUCUCAGUUCUGCUCAUUAUCUGUUGUCCUUGAGGCAAGUUCUAGAUCAAUUUGUGCCAUACCGCCAUCCUACUUUGACUAUGCUUGACGAUUUGUUGCUUGUAACAUGAGUUUCAACAUCAUUAUUUCAGUAACUCGCUAGAUCAGAGAUAAAUAGGUGGUGAAAUGGGGCAUGAGUCACCGCCUCAAGCAUUUAACGACCAAAAGAGUACCUUAAGGAGCUAGGAGCAGUUUUGCAAAUUUGCUUUCCAUAAUCCGUGAUUUUGUCAAUCAAUUUAACUUGAGUUAAUUUCACAGGAUUUCAUCUAUUUACGUAUAACUAUCAAAGAACCACAACUUCUAGGAUCAGUUUCACGUAACUACAACUGCUUAUUCCCUUAGGUUCACAAACCUAGUUCAUUCCACACGGGCCCACCUGUCAGCCACCCAAAUUGACAUCUGGGUCCAUACAACUGUGUAUAGCUGACGUGGGGUCCCAUGCAAAAUGUUGGAGGUAUGUGAAAUGAACGCUCAAGUAUUUUUAUGUAACUGAUCCUAAAAGUUGUAGUAUCUUGAUAGUUAUGUGAAAAUAAUUGUAUUUUUGUAAAAUUAACUCAUUUAACUUUAGUAACUACAUAAUAGUUUGUACUUUGGAAGGCCUCUUGCUUCAGGGGAAAAAAGGCCUUCUAACUAUUGAUGUUCAUUCAAGGGUGGUGAUGGUCAGUGCCUCCAUGCUGCCCUCUGGGCUGUAUCUAUAUUUCUCAGACAAAAGAUAAGGUUUUUUUUUUUGGGCAAGUGUGACAGUUAUUCACCUUUUCUUUGACAUUUGCUACUGUCUAUGGCCACUUUCAGCAAGGGGCACAAGUGGAAAAACAAAUUUCAAAUCAGGAAAAUGAGAACUUUUUCCAAGUUGAUGUCCUAAAGAAAUCCGCUAAAUUUAAUGAAAUUAGUCCAAUCUUUUGCACAAGGAGACAAUAUGCUCUCAAUCACAUCGCAAGAAUUCUUACUGAGUAAACUGCAGGCCAUCCUUUUCUUUUUACAGAUCUUAGUCAAGAAAUUUUCUAGUGUGGUUAAAGAAGCUAAUAUUAAUAUUCCGGUAUUCUACUUUUAAGAAAAAUUUUCUUUUUAGAAAAAGAGCAAAUUGUCCUAUGUGCUGCACAAUCUUUUUUUUAAACGUGAUUAUAUUAAAAAGAAGAAUAAAUUCAGACUGGACAGAACAACAAACAACAUCGCCCGGUUGGAUUGGGACAUCAACACGCGUUGCGCUAGCUCAACUCAACUCUCAACAACACCGGCUGGAUGGAUUGGGACAUUAACACAAGCCGCACACCACAAAGCACCACUCAACUCAAUAAGCGUCACUAGCUGGUUGGAUUGGGACGUCAACAUAUGCCGCGCAAAGUCUUCACUCCGCUAAGCUUCUCAACGUCACCACAACUAACCUCAUCACUUCGUCGGGCCGCCACUCCACUGAACACCACCACCGUGACACCACUAGCUUAUUUUUUUUCUUUUUUAAGUAAAAGAGAGAAGGAAAAUGCCCAGCUGACGAUCGCAGCGAGGGAUGUUGAACCAUAGCUGGGUCUGCGACGAUGCCUCCAAGAAGGUCAUGACACCAAUGGCGCCAUCAACAUCAGCCCAAAAAGGAUCGGGUUUUCACCCGCAGCAUCCAGCAAGUAGGCCGAAGAGAUGCAAUAGGACGCCUCCAAUAAGAAAGCGGCGUCCAUAGAGCGUUGCCGUGCGGCGUCCAUAGAGCGUUGCCGUCCAGGCUUUCGCCUCCACCUCGACGGAGCCACCCACAAGAGUGGCUAGAGCACGGCACCGCCGGCAGCUGUGCAAGAGCAUGUUAGCCUACACACCGCGCUCUCUCGUCAUCCAGCACACUGCAAACGCCGCACCACCGAGGCGCUCUUAGGUUCCCUUUGGCAAGGCUUCUUGAGCGGCUUCUCACGAAGCCCUGCCAAACGGGCAAAAAUGAAACGGCUUCUCGAGAAGCCGUUUCAUUUUUGCCCGUUUGGCAGGGCUUCGUGAGAAGCCGCUCAAGAAGCCUUGCCAAAGGGAACCUAAGAGCGCCUCGGUGGUGCGGCGUUUGCAGUGUGCUGGAUGACGAGAGAGCGCGGUGUGUAGGCUAACAUGCUCUUGCACAGCUGCCGGCGGUGCCGUGCUCUAGCCACUCUUGUGGGUGGCUCCGUCGAGGUGGAGGCGAAAGCCUGGACGGAAGCCCCGCGAUUCCCACUGAGAGGAGUCAGGAGGAGGAGAAGCCCAAAAAACAGGCUCCCCGCAGCUUCAUCCCCUUCGUGGGGCCAAAGUCCCCAUCUUGCCCAUGGGCACACGAGGGUCGGAGGAUGGCACGGGCGUAGGGAGGUUGGAGGACGCCGUCGGUGGCGACGCUGGUGCGGGGAGGGCGGAGGGCGGCGGCGGCGUGGAUGCGUGGGGGCCAAGGGUCGCGGUGGCACGGGUGCGGGAGCCGAGGGCGGUGAUGGCGCCGGCGCAGCCGCUAGGGGGCAAGGGGGCAGGAGGGCGGCGGUGGAGCGGGCACGUUGGGGUGGAAGACGCCGGCGGCGCUGGCACAAGUGUUGCGUGGGGAGGGUUGGAGGGAGACGGAGAAGAAAGGUAGGAGUGCACAAGGAGAAUGGAUAAGGAGGAUGGGGAAAGGGAAGGAAAGGGAGUGAAGAAAUAAUGGGAAGAAAAGAGAAAAAGAAAAGAAAAAAGGAGAGGGGUAUUAUAGACACUUCAUCCUCUUAUCUAUGUUACACAGCUAGGAGAAGCCGUUUUGCCAAAUGUUUUUUAACCAGACAAGUCGAAGCUAAAAAAAGCUGCUUCAUCGGAGAAGCCACAACCGCAGUUAUUUUAGCCACAGCUGCAUCCCUACCAAACGAGCCCUUAGCCUAUAGCAUAUAAACAAGAAUAUCUCUUGUACCUUGGAGUCUGGAUGAUAUAAUUUCCUUGACUGACAUUUUUGACUAGUGCAAAAUGUAGCAGCCCAUGUACUCUAGGCAUCGGCAAUUGUUUAGCAUAUCCUUUCUUUUUUACGAAAGUUUAGCAUAUCUUACUUGAAUCCAGUCCUGCCUCAGCUUUUGCUGUUGUGUCGUGCAUAUUAUAUUCUGUAAUAUUGUUCCAUGGUUCUUAUGCCUUCACCUUAAUUUAGAUUCAUCUUGUACUUUCAAAUGGUUUUCUAGCGUUGAUGCUCAAAUGGUUUUCCUCCACUUCUUGGACUAACUGAAAUCGAAAUCAUGGCUUAACGGCUCAUUUGGUUGGAGGUAAUUGGUGGGAGGGAAAGUAAUUUUAGAUGGAAGAGAUUAAAAUUCUAUUGUUUAUUUGGUGGGUAUGGGAGUUUUAAUGGGAUGAGGAAUAGGAGUUUAGAGGGACAACUCCCACCGAUCACUUCCCAGGGGAGGAUGGGAAUUUGUUUUAAGUGAAAAAUAAAUGCAUCUACACUGUUAUCAUGAUUCAAGAUAUAAUUCUCAUCUUUAAACCCUCACACCAAACAAGGGAUUCUAGACUUAAACCCCCACUCCUAAUUCCCUCCAAAAGAUAAACAAGGGAAUGUCACUGAAAAUCAUAUUCCAAAAUCAUAUUCCCAAGUGAAUUUCCUCGACCAACUCACACCACUAAUUCUCAUGCUCCUUCCCAUUAGUUGCCAAACGCACCUAAAUGAAAGUAACUCUGGAGUGCAUAGCAUGGUUGGGUCGAGGAAACUGGAAAGUGGUUCAGAAAUAAAAUAAAAUGUUUUUGCCGGUGACCAAAAUAGUACAUGAGCUACCGUAGAUUCGCAGUACGGUUCAUGCUCCUUGAUGUUCAUGAGGUCUUGGCUCGUUGUUCAGUGGCCCACUUGCCGCUGCUGUGCUCAAAAACAAAGGUUGUAACGACAAAUCCAUGUUGAAAAACAUCAAGAUUUCAUUUUCCUGCAACAUUCAAACUACAGUUGUAGUGCCAGCUGAACCUGCAUGUUUUGUAUCCAUCUGCACGAAAAUCAUGAUAGAACUAGAAAAAUCUCAAUACAGCACUUAGGUUCUUUUUUUUUUAUCAAGAUUUUUCCCUUUUCUUUAUGAAUAUAGUUAGCCCAGUUGCAUUAGCAGCUUCACAGGUGCAGUGUAAUGGAUAGGAGAAAAGACUUGAUUGAUGUAAUGGUAUGGCACCACUACAUCAACAAGGCCCAAGUAGGCUACUCGCAAGGAUUGGAGCCAAACCUGAGCUGCUGGUGGUGGAACCUGAGGUCCCGUUGCAGGCAAACAUUUCCUCCUCCCUUUGCUCUCCACAAAAUCGCACAGAAAACACCACUUGAAUCCAGUGGAUGGAGUGCCUUCCUUUUGGUUCUCGACCACUGCACUCGUGGAAACUUUUCUGCCGGCUCAUAGUAAUACAUUUCUGAAUCCUGGCCGGCCUUAGUGCCUGACCCGUUGGAGCUGACCCGUUGGAGUGAGAGAUGCUUCGAGAAAAGCGGGAGAUUACACCCAUUCACCCGGUGGCUGCUGAAUCUAUUCCCCCAUCAUAUGCUGUCCAUAUCUAGUUAUCUACUGCCUUUUUCUCAUAUUUUAGUGCCGUCUGUUGUCUGUUGUGGACUUGUGGUUGAGUACUUGACCCAAACGCUUGCGAUUACAGUGAUAAGAACCUUUUUCUAAAACAAAUUCUCCUCCUGCGCCGUAUUCAUUAUUCUAGCUCUUAGCUGACGAACGGGCAGCACGCGUUUUCACCCUUUCUCGGGGGGACGGCGGCGCUUUUGUGAAUACUUCGUCUCUCCUUGUGUGUGAUUCCAUCUUGUCUUUCUUUUCUCACAAAUCGAACAUGGUUCUCGGCAGCACCGUCCGAACCGGGCACGGGGCGACGAAGGUGAACAGUGUUUGGCGGCAGCGAUCAACUACAGCCUACAGAGAGUGACGUCUUCGGCCAUAUUCUCUGGGCUCUCAAGAUUCCUCCGGCAACGAAUCGGCGGCUGGCCGGCAGGACGUACGGUGGACGCCUACCGAUCCAACACUAUGGGGACAGCACGUUUUCACGUUCCAAAUCCAACGUGACCGUGACUGCUCCUGUUACCAUCACCCUCUUGUACAGUAAUGAUAAUUUGGUUUAGGAUGUGACUACACGGAGAGGCCUCUUCUUUUUUAGCGUUAGGUGGAGAGCCCCAUAUUGAACAUCAUUUACAUUUAUAGAAAUAACCCCUUUCUGCCCGCCAUAAACAUGCAUGCACCACACGACACCCAGCUGCGCGCAGGAAAAAACCGGGCGCAGGAAGGGUAGUGGAAACCGAACCGCGUGCCGGACGGGUUUGCGCGGAAAAAAGAAGCAGCUAGACCCUGGAGAAAAGCGAGCCGGCCCAACAAUGAAGUAACAAAUAAGGGGGUGUUUAAGGGGGUGUUUGGUUGCCUCUGACUAAACUUUAAUUCAUUUUAGCCCCUAAACCUCCAAACAUCCCUACUUAUUUGGACUAAACUUUAACUCAUAAACUUUAGUCCAUAAGCCACCAAAGGGUUGCUUAUGGGGGCUAAAAGUACCCUGGACACCCCAUGUCCUCACCGAAUGCUUGUCUGUUUGCCUCCCCCGUCGCACCCAUCCGCACGCCAUCCCCGCCGCCGCCACCCCCUACGCCAUCCCCGCCGCCCCCGCCCCCGGUCCGAGCCAAUCCUCCUCCGCCGCCAGCCCCCUGCUUGGCGCCGAGGUGCCCCUCUGCCUCGCCGGCAACGACCCGCCUGGAUCCAUCCUCGUCUGCAACCUCUACCUCUCCUGCGACCCCUACAUGCGGCCCAAGAUGUCGCACCCGCUGCGGGAGUCCUACACGGCCGCCUUCACCCCGGGCUCUGUCAUCACGGGCUACGGCGUUGCCCGCGUGCUCGACUCCUCCGACCCGCGCCUCACGCCUUGCGCCCGGGGACCAGCUGGUGCUGAAGCGGUGCUUCCCGGAGGCCAUCAGCAUCUACUUCGAGAACGUGGGCGGCGUAGGGGUGCGCAGAGGGGCGGCGGGCGCAGGAGAACGGGCAGAACGCGGCGCAGGUAGGCCAUCAUUAGUGCGGUGGUGCAUCGAUGGAGCACGUGGCUGAGUGACAGACGGCGAGCUAGGAGCGGCGAGGCAGGGCGCGGUGGUGACGGGGCCAGGCGAUGCGGUGGGUCGGGGCGCAGGAGGCAGGGUGCGACGCAGGAGGGGGCUAGGGUACGGGCGGAAGAAGAAAGGAACAGGGAGAAGGAUGCGGUGGCGCUCGGGAGGAAGGAGGAGCAGCUGGAGGAGGGAAAAGGGCAAGGGCAGUAUUGAUUAGGUUUACUAAGGUCAUUGUUCAAGUCAUUAUAUCAUUCUUUAGUCCCUGAAAAUAAGCAAGUUUUAGUCCUAAGGGCAAACCAAACAGGCCCUGAAACCUCCUGAAGCGCUGAUGCAGGCAGCGUCAUUUCAUCCGUCGUCGCCGCUGGAGCGACGGAAACAACUUCAAGAACUCCAACCGUGAAUCAGGUAGAAAAAUCACAAAAUCACAUGAAAAAUAGAGUGGGAGGCAGCAUGGAAACUCAAGCAACACCAAUGGGAGAUCACACUUCUCCAUGUUAGCAUCCUUCUCUUCCUAGAUACAAAAACUACUACUAACGUAUCAAAUUCAUCAGCUUACCUCGAGGAUUAGGACUGAAACAAGCUAGUUGCAUCCAUCAGAUCUAUGGGCUGUUCAUAUCCUGUAUGCAUAACUUGAAGCACAGUGACUAUAGUACAUAGCAUAUCCCCCUCCCCACACACACACAAAGAAACUUUGUUUUUUGACUGCUUAAACAUGAAGUCCUUGCAUCCUGUAACAAAUAAGAUAUCACAAGUCCUUCCCCCAUGUAUAUAUGUGGCUCCCUCCGUGAAUGUGACUCGCUGGAUUUUAGUUUUAUAUCUCUAUUCCUGAAUGGAAAAGGAAACAAUUCAUAGCACUUAUGCAAUAAGUAAAGGUAAUAAUCUUUGCAAUAAGUAAAGGAAGUGAGUUGCAUAGAAUAAAAGAAGCAAAACUACCAUGAAUGCAAGAAGAAAAAGUAAUUGUCAGGUUAAGUUUAUGACUCAUGGGAGGAAUCUAAAACCUACUACAACAAGUAUGCACAAAAGGUUGGAUAGAGAUUGUCAGAAAGCACAUGGAUGAGAUGAAAGCUAAGCUGAGGGCCUUCAAGACGAAGAAUUCCAAUAGGCAGAAGACUGUGGCAGCUCAUUACAACGCUGAACUGACUCAAGAAUCAUCUAACUCCACAUACAACAUAACAGCUUCAUUGGAUUUUUAAAGCCUCAAUUUAAGACUUAUGCAACCAGCACCCACUAAAAAAGCAAAUUUUAUGCCUUCAUGUUACUAGUGCUCUAAAAACUAAAAGUAUGAAUGAGUUACUUUGUGCUGAUGCAAAUAUAUAUGAAAGUUGCGUGCUGUUCAGCUAAGCAGCAUGAUAAGUUACUUCUUUGUCAGCUAAAGGGUAUGAGAAGUUACUUCCCAAUCAACCAAAAGGGACAAGAACUUAACAACUAACGAGCUACUGUGAACUUUCAUUACUUGUAGUCGAAAACCACCUAGUUUGUGUAUAGAAGUUAGUGUAAAUAUCAAAGGUAAGUUUAGCAUUGCAAACUGAUUACCCUUUUUUAACCCUUAAGCACUUGAUGCCAAUUUAAAAGAUUUAAUUUCAAGUACAACAUUGUAGACAUGUACUUGAUCCUGAUAUUAGCCACUUCAGAUGGUCAAUCUGUGGCAUGGUUUUGCCAUCCCAAUAUUCAAUGUACUUGAGCAUGGAGAAGCCGCAGUCAUAUGUAUCUGCCAGCUAAAAAAAAGGAAAAGUACUGAUGGAGUUACUUCAUGUGGAUGUGGUGUGGAAAAAAAAAGGCAAGUAGUGAGGAAAGGUGCAGGUGGCGCAUGGUGAGCAAAAAAGGGUACAGAUUAUGAAAAUAGGGUAGCUCCUAACUAAAUGUAUGAAAUGAGGGGCUACUUGCUUCAACAUAAUGACACAAAAGUUUAAUUACUUCCUGCAUGUUUCUGAUCAAAGCCUGGUUACUUCCUAUAUCAUGUCAGCAAAAUCAUUAGUUACUUCUAAUCUCAUAUAAACCAGUAAUCAUCAUGACAACAUUUUCAUAUAAAAAGGAGGCUAGCAACUAGCACAACACAACAAAAAUUAUUGCAACUUCAAGAUAGUAGUGAGGUAGCGCGUGGUGAGCAAAAAAGAUGCACAGGUUGUGAAGCUUAAAAACGUUACUUCCUAUCUAAUUUAAAUAUGUGAAUAGUUACUUACUAGGAGCAGGUUACUUUCAUGUCUAUUAAAUUGAUGCCAAGUAGUUACUUUCACAUACAUGAUAUGUUUUAUAUUUUAGAAAAGAAUAAGUUACUUUGUAAUUAAUGUGGAUGGGUGGUUAGUUACUUUCAGUGUGAUGUAAAGUAAUAAUUAGUUACUUACUAGGAUAGAUUACUUCAUAACAUGUUACUUCCUGCAUGAACGAACAAAUGAAGUUACUUGCUAUGACUGCUAUGUGUAUGCAGUCAGUGAUUUGUUACUUUUAUAAAUUAUGUGUUGCUUUCAAACUGUGCAGACAUAUAAAUGUCAACCAAAGUUUAAUUACUUUCUAUAUGUUUAAAAUGAAGGCCUGGUUACUUCCUAUCUCAUGUUAGUAAGUUGUUAGUUACUUCUAAUCUCAUGUAAACCAGUUAUUAGUUACUUUAUCGUUCAGAGAAAAAGAAAUAUGUUCAGUACAAGAAAAAUAAGUGCAAACAUCAGUGACAAAUGCGACUUGAAAAUGUUAAUUGGGAAAAAAUAUUUGUUAUGAACUGGAAUGGUAGGGUACUAGGAUUGCGUGUCUCAUGCUGGAAGACAUGCAAAACAAUCUAGUCAAACAGGGUUCAGAAUAUUUAGUGUCCUAUGUUCCAGUUAGUUCGGUACAUGCUUUUUUAUAGUAGAAGUAAUAUAUGCUAGCUAGCUGUGGGACCAAAACAGACAUCAAAAGCAGCACGAAUAAAGCUAGCACAACUCUCACUUUCGCACAACAGUAGAUUAGCUAGCAGUGACCGCAAGAGCUGCACAUAACCCAUCACUCAUGCAGCUAGCUCCACUAACACAACCACAUCUAGUGGUUGCAAGAGCUGCACAUAACCGACAGCCACAUGCUAUGUUCUAGGGUAGCAGAGUACCACACAAGCAUCACCCCUCACUCACUAGUGUCUUUCACCCUAAGUUUCAGUUUCAGCAAGUAUUAAAAAAGUGUAGAGUUUCAGCUCCACAAGCAUUCUAAGAAAUGUGAUUAAUCUUUUCAAGGGAUUACCUUCAUGUCGUAUCUAUAUAAAUAUGUAGUUACUUAUUAUGUGACUGAGUAUAUGGUAAGUUAUUCCUAAGUAAUAAAAAUACAGAACUAGUUACUUCUCGUGUCAUUGAAUAUAUGCUUAGAUACUUCCUAUGUAAUAUAAAUAUAGAAUUAGUUACUUCUAAAAGUUAUGUGAAAUAGCAAAAUUGGUGACUUCAAAUAAAAAGACAAGUUACUUGAAAUAAGUAAUAUAUUAACUAGAUCACAAUAAAAAAAUGGGAAAACUGUGCAUGGUUGUGGCAUACUACGGAUAUGAACUGUCACUUGAUGACAAAAGUAGAAUGUUGCUGCACUGCCCAAUAUGAGGUGUCACUAACUUGGAUGCACCUCGAAAUGUGACAAAAUAUAGGGAUAAUGAUAUUAGAACAAGUUCUUGAAUAAUGGAAAUUAAAACAAAUGAGCUAUAAAAAAGAGAGUAGGUGCUAAACUUGCAUGCAUCGAUGGGGCCACCAAACCGGGAAUUAUUAACACUGGUUGUUGACAAUACUACUUGAAUACUGACUUGGAUGCAACUGCAAAAUAUCAUAAAAAAAAUAGAGGAAACUUGAAUUACUUCGUAUGUGAUGUAAAUAGAUGGCUAAUUAGAUCAUACGUGUUUAAAAAAAAAGGUGCUGGUUGCAUCCCACGUAGUGUGAAUAAAUGGCUAGGUACUAAUUAAAUGUUUUAAAUGAUAAGUGACUGCAUAUGUGGUAAGUUACUUCGUAUGUAGUGUAAAUACAUAAUUAGUUACUUCUUAUGAGACUGCAUAUAUUGUAAGUUACUUCCUAUGAUAAGUUAAAUUAAUUACUAGUGUAAUGCAGUGAAACUUCAGGUUCAUAAUGAGAUUUAUGAACUAGAUGGUUAAGAAUAAUGCAAUGGAACCAACAAAUGGAUAAGAUUGCAACAUAUGCCUAAUAGAAAUCACAUGGCUAAUGCAUAUCCACAUGCAAUUUUUGCUACACUCAAAACAUCGAAAAAGCAGCAAAACUAACAAAAAAAAAGAA